UCCUCUUUUCAUGCAGCUUUCUAAUUUUUAAUUUCUCAUACAGCUAUACCGUUUAUAGUUUAAUGUUUUGUUAUGUUUACCAAACGAAAACUUGACUUUGAACGUUAGUUAGUUCAAUCAAAUUUGUACUAAUUUAUUUUCUUCUAAUACAUAAUUAGUUUGUCAGUACGAAACACAAAAAUAAUAUUUCGGAAACCGCAUUGUUCUAGGGGUCAGAUCUGUUUCUAAAUUCAAACAGUUCAGGAUUUUUCAAAAUGGAACUUAUAAUGAGAUUUUUUUUUUUUAAUUAUCUAGUUAUCUUCAUAUGGAAUUUCAAUCUUUGUUAAUACUUUAACUUGCGCCGAAACAUCUAACUAUUCUUCCUCUUAUCCUUUUUUUUUCCCAAAUAUUGCAGCUUUCUUGGGAGAGGUUCAACCAAACUGUAGGGACAGUGAAAAUAUUACUCUUAACGUUGUUCAGAACAGAGGUUCAACGGUUUUAAUGUUGUGUUUUAAAGUUACAAGUAUUAUAUAUUCGUUACGUGUGGUUAUGUAAUUUGCUGAUAUAUAAGUACAUUGAGUGAGGUAUAUGUGUGUGCCUGUGUGGUCAUUACUGAAUUUCUCAGUAAUAUAAUUUGCAUUGACUGCAGAUUUGUGUAAUGGGAACGGUGGUGUCUGUAUUUUUUGCUUUGUGAUUGACGACUUACAUUUGCCCAGGAAGAAAUGAAAACAAAUCGGCUUCUUGAAAUUAACCAUUUAUUCUUUCGAAUGGUAACCUUUUUGUGACAUGAUUCGCAUAUUAAUCAAAAGCAGUUGGCAAACUAAUCAGAUAUUGCAUCGUGAUUCGUGGCCUUGAAGUGAAAUGCGUGAGCAUGUUUGUGGAGGUUUUUGUUUUUGUUUUUUUUUUCCUCCAUAUAAAAUGACUAAUUCGAAAGAAUAUGUAUUGUAAUAGAACCUAGAACUUCUAUGUACUUUAGGAUGAAAAUUCUGUACGAUAGAAAAUAUUAAAACGAAAAUUAAAGUUGAUAUGAGAAAAUUAAAGAAGCUUGCAACUUGGAACUGCAAUCUAGCUCGACCUACUAUAUAUAUAUAUAUAUAUAUAUAUAUAUAUAUAUAUGUUAUUAAUUAAUUGAUCAGGUAAGAUAGGGAGAGACUCGCAGACUCUUUACAAGGAGCAAAAAUGGUAUGAAACUCUGUUUUGAUUAAAAUUCAAUGACUUUCUUCGUAUUAAUCAAAUUAAUUGAUUAAUUAUUUUGGUAAAAAGAAUUUGCGAAAAGUCAUUUUAUCAAAUGAUUUGGUGAAAUUUCAAGUACUUUCAUCUUGGUUUUUGCAGUUAAUAGGAAAUAGUUUGGUCUUGGGAUGUGGUAUAUGUAUCAACUUCUUAUUGCUGGUGAACAUUACUGGUUUAGUGUGCGAUCGUUUACUAUCACUGCAUGCAUUAUCAGUUUAUUUUAUUGAACUAUCCCAAAUCAGUAACGAAUCCUCAAUUCCCUCUGUUUUCUUUGGAUCCUAGUAGUGUUUGGCAUGCAUCAACUAGUGUUCAUGCAUGUGUCGGUUCAUCAUAGACAACUUCAGCACACAUACAACAGCCCUCAUUUCUUCUUAUAUUGUCGGUUCGAUAUCAUUUUGAAAAAUCAUAUCAAAACUGCUUUUGGAGUUCUAAUCCAGUGCAGUUACACCUAUAUUGUACUUUUGAUCUGCAACCUUGAGUCACUGUCAUUUUGCUGUUAGUAUUUCGAUUAGCAACUUGUACAGUGGUAUUUGAACUGCAUGGUAUGUCAACUUUCACUCUAUGUGUCUUAGAAACUCUGUAUAUCACUAAUUUCCUAGCACAGGCCUUGUUGACAGUCAAAGAUUUGAGGCAUAUUUCUGUAUUGAAGGCUUUUCUGUCGUCAAUUUGAUGAUGAGCGCAUGUAUUAUCCCCAAUAUUUUGAGCAGGAACUUGUAACUAGUAAUAACCAGUACCUAAGAUGUUGCAUUUGAUUGACUUCUCUUUCUCGUUUAGUUUCAGCCGUUGGAGUUGUUUCAGACAUGGUAACUGAUACGUAAUUUCUCUCUUUCCACCCCACAAUGUAUCAUUAGUCAUCAUUCGUUCUGGUUGGCGCGGAUACGCAUACUAAUUUGGAUUAUUGUCUGUGCCUUUGUCUUUUGUCAAUAAUCUUUUGCAUUUCAGGAUUAGUACAUCUUGUGUACUGGUAUACUCUCUCAACUAUACAUGUAAGACUUUGUUAUGUUUUCUUGACCCGUAAUCUAAUGCUAUAAGAUGACGGCAUAAUUGAGCUAUUUUGCAUCUCCAUGCAGGCCUGAUUUGGUUUUUGUGUCACUACCUGCAUUAGAUAUUGGUAGUCAAUGGCUGCAGAUGUACAGGUGCCGUUUCGUUUCCCUGACAUAAUCUCAUGUAACAUGAAAUUGCUUGUGAAACUGGAAGAUACUUGAUUCUUUUUUUUUUUCAUUUUUGCUAAAGAAAAGUGUUACUUGCGUUGGGAAAUAUGCCUACCACUCUGGAUCUCCGUUGCAGUACAUUCUUGAGAGGAAAAUCUAGCCAUAAAAUGUAAAAGACAACACAAAUUGGCCUUUCAAAGCCUAUUAUGGGAACCGGAUGUUUAUGGGUUAUAGUUGUGUGGCAUGUGAGGUAAUUGUAGCUUUCCGUGUUAUUAUCCAUAUCAGGAUUUGCAAAUGUUAUCAGUGCUUUUUACCUGAUCCAACUGUUUCAACCCUGCAGCUUCUUUACCUAAUCAUAUUUCUUAUUGCGGAGACGCAGAGUGAAAGUUUGGUGGAUGUAGGUUCUCAUUUUCUUACUAUUAGAUUGUUCUGCAUAUAGAAAGAUUUCCCCUGUUUCUGGCUUUGCAAACAAUCUCUUCUUUCAGGUUGUGGUGGGUGCUGUGCGACAGGGCUCGCCUCUUUCCUUCCUAGUUGCAUUGAGUUUAUUCGGUUGGGCAAUCAAGCAAACGAUCAAUGUCAUAAAGGUAACUUGCACUCCAUAUUAUCGUAAUGUUCGUUUAUUCUGAUACUUCUUCACAAUAAGUAAAUUUCUUGAUGUCUACAAAUUAAGGAGACUUUUGUAUGGGUAAAGUUGACAUUUUACAAUGGCAUUCUGGAUCCUGAAAUCGGUCAGUUUGAGAUUCACAUGCUGUGAUAUGCUCUACUGUUAAAACUCAAACCUUUUCUGUAUCUUAAAUGGAUUGUCGUGGAUAUGCCUGGGAUGAUCAUUUUCUUCCUCUUCACUUCAUCAUCUUUGUCAUAGUAGUUAUAAUUGAUUGAGGAGUGUGAAAACGCAUUGUGAUGAAUGAAUGCACAAGCUAUGUGAUUAAGACUGCAUUUAUUAGGUUGGUGACGGCAAAUAUCAGGCAGGAUAUUCACAAUAGUGCUACUGAAGCUUAAUAUGGAAUAAGGAGACCAAACCUCUAUAUGAUAAGAGUUGUAUGAAUACCAAAUGAAUUGUAAGAGGAUAUGGUUAAUUUAGAUUGUAAUUUAAGAAAGCUUGAGUUCUAAGAGCACAGAAAUGGGAUCAGUCUUGCUCAAGUGUGAACUCCAUCAGUUAGGAAGUUGUCCAUCAAAUGGAAAUAUUUAUGUGAUUCAGAGAAAUUAUGGACUUUUGAUGAAAACAAAAAUCCUGUAUGCAUUUGCUUGCUCCCAAUCCUGUAUGCAUUUGCUUGCCCCGAAGGAGCUGAAAGUUCUCAAAUUGUUUGUAGACGUCAUAGUUCUCCUGAUGUCAUUUGGCUUGGUAAUCUUUUUUGCUCGAAAAUUUGCCCAUUGUGUGGUCUUGACGGUGGGUGAAAUUGAUUUGUGGUUUCAGAUGAAGACAUCAGCAGAUGUGUGUGCGCUAUAUCACAUCGAGAAAAAGCAAAGGCCUUAAAGAGUUCAUCAACAUUUUCCAUUUCAGAAGAAUCUGUUUGUGGUUCUCCUGCUCAAGUGCCUACUUUUCGGGGUGCAGCAUAUAUGUUGAGACCGGCAUAUGAAAUCACUAUACUUUUACAGUUGAUCCGAGGCUUCCCUAGCAAAGGAUUUGGAAUUAAUUUGGGGAAGGGGUGUUUUUUGGGUAUAUGAGUGUGUGCAUUCCUUCAAUCACGUAGCUUCGUGCCAUUGACUUAUUGGCAAUUCCACAAUGGUGAUAAUGAUAAUUUUAUGAUUGGGGCACAGUGUUAGGAACUCUUUACUGGUUUUUUUUUUUCGCAUCUAUGUCUAUGAUUAAGGUUGUUUAAGGUGGUAUGGAUUUCAGUACAUUGAACAAAAAAUUAUUUAUUUUUAUUCAAAUAAAAAUACCUAAAAAUCAAACCUAAGUUAAAAAAAAUAAAGUUUAAAAAAUUCUGAAAUUAAUCAAAUUUUAAAACUUGAGACUUUUAACAGAUUAAUCCAACCUUUGAAUAAAUAAACUAAAUGGGGGUCAGUUUUUCUCGUGUCAGCUUGUUCAAUCGACACUAUCUUUUCAACCUCUCACGAAUAAACAAAUCACUAAUGAUGUGUCCAUUUCUUCUACUUUAUAAUAAUUUUUAAUAAAAAGAUUAUUAAAGUGGUUCGGCUGUGGGAGCCACACGUGUCUGUGGCAGCGCACACCCAAGAGAAGCCAGUCUGGUUCCAAGAAGAAAGUGAACAUGAGAUGAUGAGAUGCCGUAUCAAAUGGGGCCACGUAGACAGAGAUGCUUCGAGGUGACAUGUCAGCAGAUACCUCCACCACCGAUCUUCAAAAUAAUUUGAACGGUUGGGAUUUUAUUUUCAACUUACCUGUGUCCAGGCUGUUGUUGAUUGUCGCUAUCCUCAAUUGUCCACUUCGAAUUUUUUUUUCAAUUUCUCCAACACUCUCCUAACCAAAGGAGUUAAUAAGAUUUCGAUAUUUUUUUCUUUAAAUGAUUUGAAAUAUCAAUAUUUUAUAAUUUUUUUUGGGUCCUAUUUUGUCCAUAAAAUGUUUAGCGAUCCUUUCGUUAAUUAGUUUCGUGGCUGUCUUAUCAAAUUAUUACAACGGUGAUAUUGGUUAGACACAAAAAUUAAGAAAAAAAAAUGAUUAUAAUUAUCUGCGUGGCGCUAACACACUCUUUCACCUUCAAUGCACUGAAACUGGGGAACUACAUGUAUGAUUUUCAUUCAGAAAAACCGAUGGGAACUAAUGACUUUCCAGAUUAAAAAAAAAAAUAGGAUUAUCAAACAAUGUAGCAUUGUUAUGUAAAGUUUUAUGGUUAUUUUAAGGCUAAAAUUGGUUUAGAAAUUAAUUAAAAGACUAUAUUCAUUCUAACAUAAAACGAGUUUUUAACAAGAGGAGGAGGUUCCUUUUAUAAUUUACUAAUUUAUACAACCUUUAAUAUUAAAACAAUAUUUUAUAUAUUAAGGACGAUGAUUCUUGCUCACUUAGUAAGAUAUGUAGACAUAACAUAGAUGUGGUGAUCAAUUGCAGGUUUCUAGUUUGGUUGCUUAGUUUGAGGAAAGAAUAUAUGCUAUGGUGUUUGGCUGGUCUGCUUUUUCUUUUCAAUUAAUGUAAUAUUCUUAUGCUUUGGAAUUGAUUAUCAUAACUAAAGGAAAGAAUAUAUACUAUGGAAUAUAUGCUAUGGUCUUUGGCUGGUCUACUUUUUUCUUUUCAAUUAAUGUAUUAUUCAUAUGCUAUGGAAUAUGAAUAUUACAUUAAGGGAAAGAAUAUUUUUACACAGCACACUAUAAUACUCUAAUUACCAAUUUUUUAUCUUGUAAUACAAGGUCAUAGCGAUUAAUUUAUCCGUCUUCAGCCAAAAAAAAAGUCCCAUUUCAGCACAUAUACAAGAGCCCUCAUUUUUCUUUGCUUCAGCCAUUUUAUAGCAGAAUCAUCACAGACACUUUGAGCUCUGCCGAAUCAUCAUAGACAAUUUGUGAUUGGUGGGAGCAUUACAAGAAAGGUACGACUACUUCGAACCGAUAGAUUUGUUUAUAUGAUUUAGCUAUCGUUUUAACUUUUAACAAUAAACAAGUGACAAUCAUGUACAUCAUUGGUUACAUAAAUAUUAAAAUGAGAUAAAUUUAUUCCUCUACUUGCCAGAUCCAUACAUAUUAAAAUGAGAUAAAUUUUAAGGUUUAAAAAUUUGCAAUUCAUCAAAAAUCUAGUGCGAUAUUAAGCGGUAAAAUCACUUAGGGUUAGUACAAGAGGUUUAUGAUUCCCUGACUCAUUUAUAUAGGUGGAGACUCAUUUAUAUAGGUGGAGAGGGAAUUAGGCAAUAAAGAAUUGAUACAAAUUAAUAAUUAUAUUAUAAAAAGAAAUAAAUUUCAAGAGGGAUCAUAAGUUCAUAGAAGAUUGUAUGUCAGUUAUUUGUAGUGGAAUGGAGUUUUUUUUGGAGAGGCUAUUUGGCUUGGAAUAUAUAUUAGAAUGAGAUUAUUUGAACCUACCGCAAUACUCUCUAAAAUCCACUUUUCAAAAAAAAAUUUCAGUACAAAAUUUUCCUUAAUUAAAUUACUAUUUUAGCCAAAUAUUAUGUUGAUUUAUCUCCCUAAAGUUUUUAUUUUUUUUUCACUCUUUUUUCUCUUUUCCUCUCUGUUUCCCCAAUUUUUUUUUUCCAGUCCUAUGUGGUUCUUAUAUUUUAAGGCUUCUAUUGGAGUAAGAUCUAUAUUCAAAUUGCUUAUCCAAAAAAAAAAAAUCUUUUAAAAUUUGCCUUUCCUUUACCCUCAAGUCACUAUUAGAUGUAUGUGCUCCUCAAGAAACUUUAGUAAUUGGAUUUCUAUUAAAUAUUUUAAUUUCAAAAAAUGAGAAGGUCACUAUACAAAUAUCAAAAGAUCACCAACUUAAUUAUACUAGUUAUAAUUAAGGGAAAUAAAAGACUUACUAUUUCUAUUUGAAGUUAUUAUGAUGAACAAAGAAGAGGGAGGGGGGGGGGGGGGGGGGGGGGAACAAGUCGCUGCAAUUGCAUCAAUUGAUGACAUGUUAAGAAACGUAUCAUUGAGAUAAGAUUUAAUUGAUAAAAAUAAGAUUUACUAGAAAGUAGUGAGAGAAACAACUAACAAAAAUUCAUGAUACUUAUUGAGGGUAUAUUGAGAAUAUUUGUGGCUUUUUUGAGUAAAAAAAUAAAGUUUUAAUUUGUGAUAAUGUGUUUAUUACGUAAAUGAGUUUAUUUAAUAUUCCAGUGGAUUUAAGUAGCCUUACCUUUCAUAUUAUAAUAAAUUUUUACAUUACUCUAUAUUACCCCUACUAUAGAGGACAAUGUAAUGAAAAUAUUGUUACUCUUAUACCUAUUAAAGAAACAAUAUUAUCUUGUACGUACAAGAACGUUCUAGUGCCCAAGUAAAAGUUUUAGUAAAACGUAUAAGAACUCUAAGUGUAAAGAGAAUUUCGUCAAGGUACUAUAGUAGUAUCGAAUGCUCUUUGCUAGUGUAAACUAUUUGUGCCACGUGUAGUAUUUCAAUCUUCACAAGUGGCAUUGCAUAUAGUGGCUCUUAUUUCAGUUCCUCAAAGGCACUCUAGAGGUACGUUAGCUUAUAAGCUAGUAUUUGGUCAUCAUGUGCUUCUUUUAAUGAAACACGUGGUUCAUUUUGUCCUCAUACGAGAGCAUUUUGUGUGGAAUAACCUUGUAAAAUGCUCAUUUAUCAAGGGCACAUGUUGUGUUGUUGGAACAUAGUAAAAAUAUGAUACGCUAACCCAUGUGCAUUUAUGAAAAAUCAAAUGAAAACAAAGAACUAAAAAAAAUGCAAAGGCUAAUUCAUAAUGUUUGAGUUUGAGAUGAUUAAUAUUUAAUUUUAUGGUUGCAAAGAUAAGAAUAAAAGUAGGUCUAGUGAGAAAUACCCUCAUAUUAUAAUACUAUUUAAAAUAAAUUUUGUUAUAAAAGAUUUUAUUUAAUAAGGUAUGGAGACUGUUCAAAAUAUAUUUUACGUACAAACUCAUAUGUUUGACGUGAUAGUAUGUCCCAUGCUAGGACUAGCAAUGGUCAAAUCAACCUAUUUCGAUAAGAUCCAUCAAAAUUAAUAUUUAAAAAAUUUAUCAUCUCAUUAUACAAUACACAGCUUUGCCAUCUAGUAGAGAAUGAUUGGUUGGCACACCAUAGUUUACACGAAUAUUUCUAAUAUUUGAAUCGUCUGUUAGAAAAUUUUAAUCCUAGCAAGAUCUUGUAAGUAAAAAUAUCAAAUAAAUAGUAAAUAGAAAAUAUACAGAGAAUAAAACCAAUCAUACAACACAAUAAUUUACGUGAAAAAUUCUUAUAUUGAAGAAAAACCGCAGUCGCCAAAGAUGACAAAAGAAAAAUCUACUAUUUAAAGAUCAUUACAAUUACUUUAAUAUUUUCCUCACAUAAAAAACCCCAAUAACAAAUAAUCUCUCAUUUCAGAAACUGUCUACUUGUAUAGAGCUGAUUGUUGUGUUAUUUAAAUAAGUGAAUCUAACCUUUCGUAUAUAUUGUGAUUAUUUUAUAUUGGAGAAAUAUUUAUUUCCUUAUAUAAUUUGUAUUUCUCCUUUAAUAAGUUCUUUGGCAUUACUUAUUCCUUAAACAUGAACCCCCCCCCCCCCCCCGGAACAAGAAAAUUACUAAAUAAAAAAAUUCUAGGAAAUAUCCUAAUUUAGGAUUUACAAAUCUUCAUUGAAAAAGGAGAUAUGUUUCUUAAAAAUCUCCACUUUGGUGAGUUUUUCAAUUAAGUGACAAAAUAUAAUCCGCCAUACAUCUAUGCAACCAUGUCGUCUCCCCCUUAUUUAGUCUACCAAAACCACACUAACAUAAGACUAAUGAGAAUCACUCCACCAUGGGUAAAAUCUUGUCCUCUAUCCAGCAGCCAUAAUUUUCUACAUCGAGAAUCAUCAUACUCCACAUUAUCCAGAGUACACAUGUUUUGUAACACUCCAAAAAUUACCCACGAAAACACAAGGAUAAAAUUGGAAUGAAACUUUACAUCAUUUAUUCUUAUUAAUAAAUCUCAAGAUAGACAAUUAUUCAUACUCCAACUGAAUCCGUACAUAAAACAUCUGAAAUAAAGUCUAUAAAGAAAAGUCUCUAGUCCAAAAUAAAAAGUCUAGCCAAAUUCACUCUUGAAAGCAACUCCAAAGAUCCACUAAGAAAAAUUCUCCAUUUAAGCACCCAAGCCACAUUUCUAAUCAAUCUGCAAAAUAUUGGAGACGAGGGGUGAGCCGUCAACUCGGUAAGCAAAUCUAUGCACAAUAUUUGAAAACCUUGUAAGUUUACCUUUAAAUAUUUUAUAACAACAUCUUUAUUUAGCAUAAGGGGUGGAUUCAUAUAAAAGCAUUAAAAACAUUAAAACAUUCAUAAAAACGUUAAAACAUAAACAUUAGUAGCUCAUGCCUCGUAGUCAUCAUUAUUCAUCAUUCAUCAUUUAGGGUGUUAUACCCCGCAUUUUUCCUCAUUUAGGGUACUAUACCCCACGUUGUUCAUAAUAUCCUUGUGCACCAGAUCAUCAUCAUACCAGCAAGUUGGCCUUAGCAUUUCAUAACAUCAUAACAUUAACAUCAUAUAUAUUACUACAGACUAUGAGCCAAAACAUUUUUGAAUCCACCUUACAUCUUUUCAUAAAUAGCAUUUAAAGUCUUCUAAAACAUUUAAUUCUUUUAAAAAAUUCUUUAAGAAAACAUUUAAUUUUAAAAAAACUAAUUUCUUAAGAAAAAAUCAUUUUAAAAUACAUUUAUAUAAAUUCAUUUAGAAGCGUUUUUAUUUUACAAAAUUCAUUUAAAUAUUUUAGAAAUCAGUUUUGUAAAAAUCUCUAUUUAAACAUAAUUCGUAUUUAUUAUAAAGGACAUCAUGCAUGAAUCUACUUAUCUUGAUCCAUAUCAAUCAAUUCAAUACCUUAAGAAUAACCAACGAGCUCACCCAUGUCCUAUAAUUAUCAUAAAAAUAUUCUUAUCAAUAUCAUCUCUAACCUUAAACAUAAUCCCAGUCAUCCUUAAAUCAUAGGCACUUAUACUAGCUUAAUACUUAUACAUAUUCUAAACAUAUCCUAUACUUAUGAGUAUCAUGUACAUGCUGAUUUUUAAUAACCUAUACACAUGUCGGAAAACCAUGAAAAUUUACAGAGGCACUGUGAACAUGCAUAGCAUUGCAUACAAUAUUUCACAAAAAUCAGCACAAGUCAAAAUCGAGUCAGAAUAUUGACCUUUCACCAAAGUAACAAAAUUGUCCAGCACUGAUCAAAACAGACAUUUUCCACUUAUAAAAUUCAUAAAAUUUUCUUUAGUACUCGAAAUAAUAUGUUUCUUUUUUUGAAUCACAGAAGAAACAUUCAGAAAGCACUAAUUAAAUUUCAUAAUUUUUGGACUCCUGAAACUAUUUUAAAACGUUUUAUUUCCAAGAACAUCUAACCCGUCCAGAAAAUCUCAGAGUUGAAAACAGAAUUUCAAACAUUCGUAUCUUUUAUUUUACAUGCCCAAAAAUCACGAUUCCAUUUUUUAAAGAUAGAGGAAAGAUUGAAAUUUCAUUAUAAAAUCCUAACAUGACAUGUAAUAUUCAUAAACUAGCCCAACUGUUAUACGUUUCAGCUUCUGCAAUUCUGGAAAACAGUUUUCAGAUUUGCAGCAGCCACAUGUUACGGUUUUUAAUAAUUCAACCAUAAAGAAUAAAACUACGAAAUUACACAUGCAAGCAUAGGAGACAUAGAUCUGUUGAUACAAAAAUCGCCAUAAUUUUUAAGGAUGUGUAACCUUAUAGAAAAAUUUCCAGAAUUGAGAACCGCUGCUGAAAAUCGGAAUUUUCCAGCACCAGUAACCCAACUUCGAAAACCCAUAACAAUUUGCAUAAUCAGACGAUUUCAACACAAAACCUAUCAAUGGAAAGCUUAGGAUGUCUAGUUCCAUGAUAUGUAAGCAUAUUCAUGUGAUUCUAAAUAAAGAAAACGCUUUCAAGCAAGGAAUAGAGGCUGUUCAUAUCAUCACAACAUUACAAACACGCAUAUAUUACCCAAAUCAUACUACAAGUAAUUAAAGGCAAACAAUUCAAAAAAAUAAAUCAUAUAAGUCUAAGAAAUAUUUAGUACCUUAAGGAAAACACUAAGGUGGCGUUUGUUUUUUAACUUAAUGACUUAAAGUGACUUAACUUAAUUAAUUAAGUUAAUUAAAGGUGUUUGUUUUUAUAACUUAAUGAGACUUUUUAGAUAAUUUUGACUUAAUAAAAUAAGCCAAUUUUUUUAGCUUUUUACUUAAUGGAGAAAUCUGAAUUAAGUCAAUUACUUACUAAUGUCAAAAAUAUCCUUGCUUUAUAAUUUAUUUUUCAUGUUUAUCCCAAACUCAUCCAUAGACAUUUACCCUACAUAAAAAUAUCCAUGUUUUUCUUUCUUAUAUUAUAUACGAUAAAAUUUAAAAUUUAUGGUAUUUUAUCUAUUAAAAUUCUAAAAUAAUUAUGUAUUUACUUGAAUUUAGUUUUACUUAUAAAUGUUAAAAUAUUGUGGCAUUUAAUAUAUUAUUUAUUUGACAUUCAAAUUUAAUAAGGAUACAAAUGUAAAAGUACAUAUUUUUAACUUUUUAAGUUGAAAAAAACAAACAACUUAAUACUUAUUUUCUGAGAUUCAGACGAAAAAAUAAACAUAUUAUUCAGAUUCAGACAUUCAGAUCUAUUCAGAAUUCAGACUAAUUCAGGUAUAUUCAGAUUUUAGAUAAAAAAACAAAUGCCACCUAAAAAAAGAAAGUUAUAAAACUUUCUUUUCCUUCUCCAAAGACUUAUGUUUCUUUUUUUUUUUUCUUUCUAGAGUUUGUAACGGUGUAGAAAAUAAAAGACGACUUCCUCUUAAAUACUUGUCAAUUAAUAAAUACUUUUAAAAAAAAAAUUAAUAACUUACAUAAUUUAUUUAAAGCAAUUUGAUAAAUUUUACCCACACACAAACACUCAAUAAUAAUUAUCCUACUCAAUUUUGAUAAGGGUAAAAGUAGAAAAAUAAAUAAAUAAAUAAAAGUGGGCGUUACAUGUUUGGCAUAUGUCGAUGACAUUUCUAAAAUUACCCACUCUCAUGUUUGGCUUUUUUGAGAGUCCUCAUCAAUCAACAUAAAAUUUCAUCUCAUACCUUGCAUAAAUACUAAACUAGGGGUUGUGUGCAUAUCUUGUGGACCAAUUAGCAAUAACACAUCCUCUUCACGAAACACCAAUAGAUGUCAUAAUUACUAUCUCUUUCUGUUGAUUUAGAACUACUUUCCAAAUUUGCUAUAUUCCAACAAUCUCUUUUAAGAUGUUUUGAUUACCUACACUCGUCCAAGGGUUUCUACUAGUGGAAUAGGCCUUACAUUGUUCUUUGCUUUACUUGUACAGACAUAUUGAAUCAUUACGUUAUUGAUUUGAGCUUCCCAUAAGCAAACAUUGAUUAUUCUGUCAAACUUUUUCGUUUCUAUCUUCAUAGGUUUUGAAAACCUCCUUGUUGCCAUAUUUGCUCUACAUUGCAACCUUAGCUCUAUUAUCACCUACUAAGAAAUAAUUAAUCCCACUUAAGAUUCGUAAGAAAAAAUAUCAAAUAAAUAGUAAAUAUAAAAUAGAUAGAAAAUAAAGCCAAUCAAAUAAUACAAAAUUUACAUGAAAACUUCUAUAUUGGAGAAAAACUAUAAUAGCCAAGGAUGAUAAGAGAAAAAAUUAUUAUAAUUACUCUAGUAUUUUUUUAACACCUAAAACACCAAAAGCACCUAAUCUCUUAAUAGAACUAUCUUUUCUCUCGCAGUAAAAACUAUUUACUUACAGACAAUCGAUUGUUAUAUUAUGCAAAUAAGUAAACCUAAUCUCCAUAUAUGUGUGUGUGUGUGUGUGUGUGUGUGUGUGUGUGUGUGUGUCUAUGUAGGUAUGUAUGUAUAUAUGUAUGUAUGUGUAUGUAUGUGUAUAUAUAUAUAUAUAUAUACUCACACAUAUAUAGAUACCUACAUACAUACAUACAUACAUAUAUAUAUGUACAUGUAUGUACAUACAUACAUAAAUACAUACAUACAUACAUACAUACAUACAUACAUACAUAUACACACACACAUACAUGCAUACAUACAUACAUACAUACAUACAUACAUACAUAUAUGAUUUGUAUUCCUCUUUGAAUAAGUUAAGUUCUAAAGAGAAAAUUACUUAUUUGUUAAAUAUGAAUUAUCUUCAAUAAGAAAACUGAAAAGUGUAGAAAAUUCCUAAUUUAGGACUUAAAAAUCUUCUUUGAAAAAAGAGACAUCUCCCAAUAUCCUCAAAUCCUCUUUACAAUGCCACCAAAUCUCUUUUGUGACUAGCCCGGUUGAAACUUUUAAUUAAUGGGCUGUAAUUGCCAAUAUCCAAAAUAUCCAAAUAAAACAAAUUUCCAUAGGUAUAUUGGUAGAUUGAAUGACAACUAACAACACGUGAUUUGAUUAACUUAUUUCCAAAAAAAAAAGAAAAAAAAAAGAUACAAUGGAUGAACAUAAGACUCUUGUGCCAACUCAUGGAAUUCAUCAAUAAGGCCUUGGCUGAUCCACCUCAUGACUAGUAGAGUUCAAACCCCCGCUAAAUAGUAAAAAAACUAUUUGGAUUAUUAAUUACUCUUUCUUAAGUCUAUUUAAACUUAACUUUAAGAAUUAUGAACGUCUACACUUUAAUUAAAACAAUACAAGCCCACCCGUUUGUAUUUAAAAUUUUGUUUGAAUUUAUUCACGAGCAACAAGAAUAGUAUAAAUGGAAAAAAAAACCAUCAAAUAAUAUCCCAUGACUCUGUUUCUUCAAUUUCAGGAGCAAUGGUGGAAUCAUAUUUUCCGAUUGAAAAACUUUUGGAAAAAUUAGUGAGCUCUACUUGUGAAGAACUUUUAUUGUUCUACGGUGUCAAAAAUGACUUAUAAAAAUUAAAGGAGACGUUAACCACUGUCAAAAGUGUGGUUUUGGAUGCUGAGGAAAAGCAAAUCCAUAAUCACCGGUUAAGCGAUUGGCUGGGAAAGCUUAAAGAUGCUUGUUAUGAUGCAGAAGAUGUGUUGGAUGAAUUUGAGGUGGAAAAUCUACGAAGGCAAGUCAUGAAGCAAAGAAGCAUCGGAAGAAAGUUUCGUAACUUUUUUGGAAGCUCAAAUCCGAUAGCUUUUCGUUUUAGAAUGGGCCAUCAAAUCAAGAAAAUUCGAGAGAGAUUUGAUGAGAUUGCAAAAUUGAGGGGUGAGUUUAAUCUCAUUGAACGACUUGACGAUCAUCAGCGAGUUGUGCACAAAGAAAGGGAACCCACUCACUCGUUUGUGCUUUCAUCUGAUAUUAUUGGAAGAGAUAAAGAUAGAGAGAAGAUUAUUGAACUAUUGAUGCAAACAAGUGACGGCGAAAGUGAAACUGUGUCUGUGGUUCCUAUUGUGGGACUUGGAGGUUUGGGCAAGACUGGACUUGCAAAAUUGGUGUACAAUGAUCAAAGGGUAGAAGAGCAUUUUGAGUUGAAAAUCUGGAUAUGUGUUUCUGAGGAUUUUGAUGAGAAACAACUUAUGACAAAGAUUAUCAAGUCGAUAACUGGUCAAAACCAAGGUGACUUGGAUACAGACCAAUUGCAACGAACCUUGCGAGAUCGUUUGAAUAGUAAGAGAUACUUGCUUGUUAUGGAUGAUGUAUGGAACGAAGAUCCUGAAGCAUGGCGUAAAUUAAAAAGCUUAUUGUUGGGAGGUGCUAACGGAAGCAAAAUUUUGGUAACCACACGUAGCAGGAAGGUUGCUUCAAUCAUGGGCACGAGGGGAGGUACUACUGGCUACAACUUACAAGGUCUACCAUUCGAGGAUUGCUUGUCUUUGUUUAUGAAAUGUGCAUUUAAAGAAGAGCGAGAUAAACAUCCAAACCUUGUUAAAAUCGGGGAAGAAAUUGUGAAAAAAUGUGGGGGAAUUCCUCUGGCAGUCAGAACACUAGGAAGUCUACUAUAUGACUCAACGGAUGAACAUGAUUGGGAAUAUGUGAGGGAUAAUGAGAUAUGGAAGUUAGAGCAAAAGGCAAAUGACAUUUUACCUGUUCUGAGGUUCAGUUAUGAUCAACUACCGCCUCGCCUGAAACAAUGUGUUGCUUAUUGUUGUAUCUUUCCAAAGGAUUUUGAAUUUAGUAGUUAUGCUUUGGUUCAAUUUUGGAUGGCUCAUGGUCUUCUCCAAUCGCAUAAUAAGAAUGAAGAGUUAGAAGAUAUUGGUAUGCGGUACGUGAAGGAAUUACUAUCAAGAUCUUUCUUCCAAGAUUUGACUAUUGGGAUGUUAGGAAUGGAGACGUUCUCUUUCAAAAUGCGCGACCUUAUGCAUGAUCUUGCUCAGCAAGUGGCCAAAGAUGAAUUCCUAGUAGUGAACUCUGAUUGUCAAUCUAUUCCCAAAAGUGUCCGUCAUUUGUCAUUUGCUACUGCUAAUGCAUCGAGAAAUGACUUUUCAAGCCUUUUAUCUGAUCUAGGUCGUGUGAGAACCAUUUUCUUUUCACCUGAUGAUGAGAAGACAAGCCAAUCAUUUGUUGAAUCAUGCAUCUCAAAGUCGUAGUUCCUGAGAGUGCUAGAUUUAAAUGGCUCUGCUAUUGAGGUUUGUCCCAGAAAGAUGGGUAAUUUGAAGCACAUGAGGCGUCUUGAUCUGGCGGGAAAUUCUAAAAUCAAGAAACUUCCAAAAUCCAUUUGCGAGCUACAGAGUUUACAAACACUGAAUCUUGAAGGAUGUCUGGAGCUAGAAGAGUUGCCUAAAGACAUAAGGUACCUUGUUAGUCUCAGAGUGUUAGGGCUAACCACAAAACAAAAGUCUUUGCAAGAGAGUGGAAUAAGGAGCUUGAGUUCUCUUCGUUGGUUGUCAAUUUCUAAAUGCAGGAAUUUAGAACAUUUGUUCGAGGAGAUAGAUCAAUUAUUGUCCUUCGAACAUUAUUAAUUGCUAAUUGUCCUCGUCUAAUCUCAUUGCCACCUGCUAUCAAAUAUCUCAGCUCAUUAGAGACUCUGAUGUUGUGGAAGUGUGAAAGCCUUGAUCUUAAUCUGAACGUGGAAAUGGAAGGUGAAGGAAGUCAUCAUGAUUGCAAAGACACAAGGCCUCACCUUUGGAGGGUUUUCGUUGUGGAAAUAACACUGUUAUUAGAACUGCCGCAAUGGCUUCUUCAAUGUUGUACUGAUACUUUACGGAACUUGGUUAUUGGAGAUUGUCCCAACUUCAUGGCACUGCCAGGGUCUCUAAAAGAUCUCAAAGCUCUUGAAACUCUUACCAUUCUAGGAUGUCCAAAAUUGUCAUCGUUGCCGGAGGAUAUGCAUGACGUCACAACUCUGAAAUCAUUGACCAUUGCAGGAUGUCCUGCACUGAGUGAAAGAUGCAAACCGCCAACAGGUGAAGAUUGGCCCAAGAUUGCACAUAUCCCUCAGGUUCAUCUUGAUGGCGAGAUGAUUGAAUCAAGUGAUAAUUAGGUAUGGAUUUUUUUUUUUCAAUAAGCGUACCACUCUGUUAUAUUUCCUCUUUUCAUGCAGCUUUCUAAUUUUUAAUUUCUCAUACAGCUAUACCGUUUAUAGUUUAAUGUUUUGUUAUGUUUACCAAACGAAAACUUGACUUUGAACGUUAGUUAGUUCAAUCAAAUUUGUACUAAUUUAUUUUCUUCUAAUACAUAAUUAUUUUGUCGGUACGAAAAACAAAAAUAAUAUUUUGGAAACCGCACUGUUCUCGGGGUCAGAUCUGUUUCUAAAUUCAAACAGUUCAGGAUUUUUCAAAAUGGAACUUAUAAUGAGAUUUUUUUUUUAAUUAUCUAGUUAUCUUCAUAUGGAAUUUCAAUCUUUGUUAAUACUUUAACUUGCCCCGAAACAUCUGACUAUUCUUCCUCUUGUCCUUUUUUUUUCCCAAAUAUUGCAGCUUUCUUGGGAGAGGUUCAACCAAACUGCAGGGACAGUGAAAAUAUUACUCUAAGUUACAAGUAUUAUAUAUUCGUUACGUGUGGUUAUGUAAUUUGCUGAUAAAUAAGUACAUUGAGUGAGGUAUAUGUGUGUGCCUGUGUGGUCAUUACUGAAUUUCUCAGUAAUAUAAUUUGCAUUGACUGCAGAUUUGUGAAGAACAUUGAUUCCAAACAUGUGGUGUCUGUAUUUUGUGCUUUGUGAUUGACGACUUACAUUUGCCCAGGAAGAAAUGAAAACAAAUCGGCUUCUUGAAAUUAACCAUUUAUUCUUUCGAAUGGUAACCUUUUUGUGACAUGAUUCGCAUAUUAAUCAAACGUAGUUGGCAAACUAAUUAGAUAUUGCAUCGUGAUUCGUGGCCUUGAAGUGAAAUGAGUGUUGGUGCUAAUUAGCAAUGUAACUUGUUUUGAUUAAAAUUCAAUGACUUUCUUCGUAUUAAUCAAAUUAAUUAAUAAAUUAUUUUGGUAAAAAGAAUUUGCCAAUUUUGUGGCGGUCUUGAGACCCUUGACGGUGGUGAAAUUGAUUCACGGUUUCAAAUGAAGACAUGCAGCGGAUGCGUGCGUGCCGUAUGACAUCGAUGAAAAAGUAAAGAGUUUGAUUUCUCUAUUUUACCCUUAAUUAAUCGUUGACGUCUAAUUUUACACUCCCAACAAAUUUGAAUGAAACAAUCCUAAUGUUCACUUUCUUCUUCCAUUUCAUUUUACGACUUAACAAAAUCUCGCAACGGAGAUGCUCCUGAUGAGGAGAAGGAGAAGAAGACACAGCGAGUUCGCAAGAACGUGUACAGAGGAAUAAGGCAGAGGCCAUGGGAGAAAUGGGCAGCUGAAAUUAGAGACCCUUACAAGGGCGUCCGCGUUUGGCUCGGCACAGCCGAAAAAGCUGCAAGAGUUUAUGCUGACGUCGCCAAGAAUAUCCGUGGCUCGACUUUGCUCACCGGCCGCCAGUAACUCCACCUCCAGGUAAGAAACGCUUCGUGCUAUCCCGUGAGUUGACUCACCCGAAUUUCGGAGAUUACUUUUUUAUUGGUUUUCAUUGAUUUCUUUUCCUGCUCUUAUCUACGAGGUUGUGCUUUCCCUUGGAUGCCCUUUAAUAAACAGCUUUCUUAAUAACAACUGAAGCGAAAAGUCAUUUUAUCAAAUGAUUUGGUGAAAUUUCAAGUACUUUCAUCUUGGUUUAUGCAGUUAAUAGGAAAUAGUUUGGUGUUGGGAUGUGUUAUAUGUAUCAAGUUCUUAUUGCUGGUUUGUUUCUCAUAAUCGUUAUCCAGUCAAAGCAAACGUUCGCCUCUCACAUUGACGGUUAGGCUAGAUGUUUGACCCUGAAUAAGAUGAUUGAGUUUAUUAUAGUCUUCUUAUAUUGUCGGUUCAAUAUCAUUUUGAAAUAUCACAUCAAUUCCGCGUUUGGAGUUUUAAUCCAUGCCCAGUUACACCUUUAUUUUACUUUUAAGCUGCAACAUUGAGUCACAUUCUUUUUCUGUUAUUAUUACGAUUAGCGACUGGUACAGUGGUAUUUGAACUGCAUAGCGUGUCAACUUUCACUCUAAAUGUCUUAGAAACUCUGUCUAUCACUAAUUUCCUAGAACAGGCCUCGUUGACAGUCAAAGAUUUGAGGCGUAUUUCUGGACUGAAGGCUUUUCUCUAGUCAAUUUGAUGAUAAGCGCAUUUAUUAUCUCCAGCAUUAAGCAGUAAUUUGUAACUAGUAGUAGCCAGUACCUAAGAUGUUGCAUUUGACUGUCUUCUCUUUCUGGUUCAGUUUCGACCUUUGGAGCUGUUUUAGACAUGGUAACGGAUAGGUAAUUUCUCUCUACCCCACCCCACAAUGUAUCAUCAGUCAUCAUUCGUUGUGGUUGGUGGAGAUACACAUACUAAUUUGGAUUAUUGUCCGUGCCUUCGUCUUUUGUCAAUAAUCUUUUGCAUUUCAGGAUUAGUACAGCUUGUCUACUGGUAAUACUCUCUCAAGUAUACAGGGAAGACUUUGUUACGUUUUCUUGACCCGUAAUCUAAUGUUUUAAGAUGAAGGCAUAAUUGAGCUAUCUUGCAUCUCCAUGCAGGCCUGGUUUGGUUUUUGUGUCACUACCUGUAUUAGAUAUUGGUAGUCAAUGGCUGCAGAUGUACAGGUACCUUUUCGUUUCCCUGACAUAAUCUCAUGUUACAUGAAAUUGCUCGUGGAACUGGGAGAUUUUUUAUUUUUUAUUUUUUCAUAUUUACUAAAGAAAAGUGUUACUUUCGUUGGGAAAAAUGCCUACCACUCUUUAUCUCUGUUGCAGUACAUUCUUAACAGGAAAAACUCGACAUAAAGAUGCAAAAGACAGCACAAAUUGGCUUUUCAAAGCCUAUUAUGGGAACCGGAUGUUUAUGGGUUAUUGUUGUGUGGCGUGUGAGGUAAUUGUAGCUUUCCGUGUUAUUAUACAUAUCAGGAUUUGCAAAUGUUAUCGGUACUUUUUACCUGAUCCAACUGUUUCAACCCUGCAGCUUCUUUACCUAAUCCUAUUUCUUAUUGCGUAGAAGCAGAGGGAAAGCUUGGUGGAUGUAGGCUCUCAUUUUCUUACUAUUAGAUUGUUCUGAAAAUAGAAAUAUUUCCCCUGUUUCUUGAUUUUCAAACAAUUUCUUCUUUCAGGUUGUGGCGAGUGCUGUGCAACAGGGUUCGCCUCUUUCCUUCCUAGUUGCAUUGAGUUUAUUCGCAUGGGCGCAAUCAAGCAAACGAUUAAUGUCGGACAGGUAACUUCAACCCCAUAUGAUGGUAAUGUUCGUUUAAAUAAAUUUCUUGAUGUCUACAAAUUAAGGAAACCUUUGUAUGGGUAAAGUUGACAUUUUACACUGGCAUUAUGGGUCUUGAAAUCGGUCUGUUUUAGAUUCACAUGCUGUGAUAUGCUCUAAUGUUAAAACUCAAACCUCUUCUGCAUGUUAAAUGGAUUGUCGUGGAUAUGCCUGGGAUGAUCAUUUUCUUCGUUUUCACUCAUCGUCUUUGUCAUUGUAGUUAUAAUUGAUUGUGGAGAGUGAAAACGCACUGUGAUGAAUGAAUGCAAAAGCUAUGUAAUUAAGACUACAUUUAUUAGGUUGGUGACCACAAAUAAUCGGAAGGAUAUUCACAAUAGUGUUAUUGAAGCUCUAUAUGGAAUAAGGAGACCAAACCUGUAUGUGAUAAGAGUUGUAUGAAUACCAAAUGAAUUGUCAGAGGAUAUGGUUACUUUAGAUUGCAAUUUAAGAAUGCUUGAGUUCUAAAAGCACAGAAAUGGGAUCAGUUAGGGUAAACUCCUUCGUCAGUUAGUGAACUGUCCAUCAAAAGUAAAUAUUUAUGUGAUUGAGAGAAAUUUUGGAUUUUUGAUGAAAACAAAAAUCCUGUAUGCAUUUGCUUGCCCCCAAGGAGCUGAAGAUUCUCAAAUUGUUUGUAGACGUAAUAGUUCUUCUGAUAUCAUUUGGCUUGCUAAUCUUUCUUGCUCGAAAAUUUACCCGUUGUGUGGUCUUGAUGGUGGAUGAAAUUGAUGUGUGGUUUCAGAUGAAGACGGCAGCAGAUAUGUGUGUGCCAUAUGACAUCGAGAAAAAGCAAAAGCCUUAAAGAGUUCAUCAACAUUUUCCAUUCAGAAGAAUAUGUUUUGUGGUUUUCAAUAUAAUUGAAGAAAUGAUGUUUGUACUGAUGCAGAUGCAGGAACUUUACACAUCUUAAGUUUACGAGAUAUAUAUAUAUUUUUUUGACUCUGUUAGAUAGCUGUCAGUUAGUUAACCAAUUUAUGUUACUCUUCCUUGGCUAGCCAAUUAAGAACUUAUGUUUGCUGGAUUGUAAAGCCUACAUCUGGAAGCCACAGGUGAUUUUAUUUGAAGGCAAUUUGUACUAGGCUAUAUGCGGAUUUCUAUCUUGAUUUCUGUAUGCUUGAAGGAGAUUUUUUUAUGCGUGAGAGCUUGAAAAUUAUACAUGUACAUGUUGAAACUAUUGGAUAUAUGUUAAGAAUCAAGCAUAAUUGUGUCAAGAUGAAACCAUAAUUUGGGUGCUGUUUUAUGAGUAAACUAUCUGCAAUUUGGGUGCAGUAAACCUAGGUUGAAUACCAGGACAUGGUAUAAAAGUGAAAUCACACAUUGAAUCUCGCAUAAAGAUUUUAAAGAUGCAAAUUCGAAUUGUACAUGAGAUGUUAUCUUGAUCGAAUUGCAGCGGCUUUGUUUUGGAUCCAGAAAACAAAAUUGAAGGCAUAGAGAAGUCUCUAUGGGAUGCUUAUAUUAAGGUGCAUAAUGGCCUCAUUGAGUUUUGUGCUGUUGUUCUACGUUGUUUGAGUUUUGUGCUGCGGUUCUGUGUUGCUGCUUUUGCUACCGAUUUUGGCUAUUUUCUGCCACUCUGUUAUUUGCUAUUUUUUACUACUUUCGCUGCUGAUUUUUACUGUUUUCGCUGCUUUAGCUGUUGUUUUAUCUGCUGUUUUUUUUUACUGCUUUUAUUUUUUAUUUUUUCUGUUCUCUAUCGUGUUUUACCCACUGGUUGUCGCAUGUUUAUUAAUAUUGUUUGCUGCUGUUUGAUUUGCUGUUUUUUGCUGCUAAUUUUUUUUCCUGUUUUCUGCGGUUAUUUGCUGCCGUUACUGUUUUACUCGCCAGUUGAUGAUGUUUUGUGGUUCUCCUCCUCGAAUGCCUACUUUUUCCAGUGUGCAAGCAUAUCUGUUGAGAGUGGCUGAUGAAAUCACUAAACUGUUACAGUUGAUCUCAUGCUUCUCUAGAGAAGGAAUUAGACUUAUUUUGGUGAAGGGGUUUUUUCUGGUUUUUAUAUCAGUGUGUGCAUUUCUUCAAUCACGUAGCUUUGUGGCAUUACGAUCGAUAAUGGCUGUUAAGCGAAUAAAAGCACCAGGUCGGCCAUACUAUUAUUGCCACCCCGGCAUGGAUCACCUCAGCCCUGUGGUACGAGCAGAGCACAGGGGCACACAUCGACCAGAUGUUCAUAUCAAACCGAUAUACAUUCCCCAGAAAAGCGGGAACACGAUCCCACAGAAUCACUGCAGUUGCGCUUUGCCCAGAACCGUUGAAGGACACGGGAGAUCCCACGUUUGCCACAAUGCAACAAUCAGAGCCCCAUGAGGGGCGGCCACCACCCGAAAAAAGGGGGAUAGAGGGUAAGCGGAAAACGUGGGACAAACAGCGGCUAUAAAAGAAGAGGAAAUCGAUGAAGAAAAGGACACAGAAAAAUUGAGAGGGGAAAACGCUGCCAAAUUGCAACCAGGCCAUUUUCUUACAAAUUUCGAACAAACUUCUUGAAUCCAAAUUACAUUGUUUUCCCGUAAACACCUUGUACUAACUUAGGCAUCGGAGGGUUUACGCCGGCAAAACCACCGGCGUCUCUGAUCCGUUUUUGCUGAACGCAGGUCUAGUGAGAGAAAGGAGGGUGAUUCCAGCCUUAGCGGUUCGUGCAACAGUCGAUAUCUUAAACGUUGGUGGAAGAAUCUGGUCAGUCCAAGGACGAGCAGAUUUCGGCAUCAACAUUUUGGCGCCGUCUGUGGGGAGCUGGAUAAAAAGCUACCACCGAAUCAGUAGUUACCGGAGAAACAGCGAACGAUUAGAUAUGGAUGUGCCGAGAAAGGAUGCUUUGAGGGAGGAUAACGAAACUGUGGAGACAAUCACUCUCCGGGAAAUUGCAAAUGAAGCUUGGGAGAGGAUGAUGCAAGACCGAUUGGAGCGGAUGGAGAAACAAAUGGAGACUCUCGCGACCAUAGUGUAUGAGCUGAGGGAUGAGCGGAGAAAGGAUUGUGAAACCCCCGUGGGGAGAGAUGAUGUUGGAGCAGAACCCAGCUUCCGAAGGCGUAGAGUUGAGGAAAUCCCUCCGCCGGUAGACCAACUUAAUGGGGUGCAUCCCCACAGAAGCACUAGUCGGGCUUCAGGAGAACGAGUAGAUGAAGGGAGGGACCAACCUUGCCCCGGACGGGUACCGGAGAUUGAUGGCCGAGGGGCCAGUAUUGAUGAAGGAGAGCUCAGACAGCGGUUGCAAAAUGCCGAGCAGGAACGAGUUCAGAUAGCUGCGCGUGAUCCUGACCGUGCCGUAGAAUUGGAGGAAGAAGUGCGCAGAUUAGCGCAAGUGAUAGAGGAGAUACAGGGCAAGAGAAAGUCCCCGAGCUGGAGGAUAAUGCUAGAUGAAGAAUCUCCACUAUCAGCUGUGAUCAUGGGUACCAUAAUCCCAAGAGAUUUCCGCUUUCCCGACCUCAAAUACUCCGGGCGAAGUGAUCCAUUGGUGCAUAUUGAACGUUUCAACGACGUGACGGGUGUUCAAGGGUUAACACCAGCCCAGAGAUGUAGGGUGUUACCAUUGACACUGGAAGGACGAGCCGGAGAAUGGUACCGCAAGCUGUCACGAGGAAGUAUCAGAGGGUACGAGCAGAUGUGCCAAGAGUUGGCCGAACAGUUCCGAGGAGCAGUGGCCUCAGAGGAUGAUAUGAUGGAGCUAAUGGGAAUGAAGCAGGAGGAACAAGAAUCCCUUCGGGAUUUUGUAAAACGAUACCACCGAGCCGUGCUUGAUUUGGGGGCCUUCAAUCACCCGCAGGCGUUGAGGGGAUUAAAGGAGGGAGUGAGGAUAGGCCGGCUAUGGUAUAACCUGAGAAGUCCCUUGGUACAAAAUUACUCAGCGGGGUAUGAGCAGGCAAAGAGAGACAUUGAAAUCGAAGAGAAAAAGUCGGCGAGGAUAAAAAGUGAACAACUGGAGGAGCUGAGAAGAAAGGAAAGGAGAAUCCCGAGUGGGAGCGGAUCGGGAAAGCGAGCUGGGGAGUCCUCAGCUAUGGGCGGAAUAUCAGCUUGGUCCCGCCCUUACCACGUAGCUCCGAGACCACAACAGUUCCAACACAGCCGAGCCCAACCUCCGCGCACUUCAUUCCCGGAGCGGCAACGAGAAUUCAGGCAGAUGGCUGCCCGCCCUUAUUACAACGCUCCCAGAGCAUUACAUGCAAGUGGUUCCAGGGCAGGAAGACCAGACCAGCUAGCGACUAUACCAACCCGAGAUGACAUUCAGGAUAGCCGAGCAGUUCAACUGGUAGACCAGAGCUUGGCAUAUAGACAGUACACUCCAUUGAAGAUCUCAAUGGAGGAAUUGUAUGAGAGGAUCGAAGGACGAGGCCUGCUGUACCCGCCAGCCCCUAUAACAAAACUGGCUCACCGACGGGAUAAGAACAGAUUCUGCAAGUUUUACGACACUCAUGGUCACACAAUCGACCAAUGUCGUGACCUGAAGAUUCAGGUGGAGGACUUAGUACGGAACCGGUACUUGGAUGAGUAUGUAGAGGGGGUGUCCCCGAUCAUCGAAUCAAAGUAUAUACGGGAUGAAGAAGUUCAGAGGGGUUUGGAACGUGAACAGCCGACCAUCCAUGUGAUAGCUGGGGGGCCAACAUUGGCUGGGGAUUCGAACAGAGCACGGAAGAACUAUGGGAGAUACGCCAUGACUGGCAAAGAGGUGCUUCUAAAUUUGCCAGCGGCCAAGAAGGCGAAGGUACGGCAAGUUCCCAUUAUGUGGACGGAGGAUGACGAGGAGGGUAUUUUGUAUCCUCAUGAGGAUGCACUGGUGAUUAAAGCAUUGGUGGCUAGCACAGAAUUGCGGCGAAUACUGGUGGACACGGGCAGUUCAGUUGACAUUCUAUUUAAGUCAGCCCUAAAUGAUAUGGGGAUUUUAGAUUUAAAGCUGGAGCGGAUGAAUACAUCCUUAAAAGGAUUUGGAGGGGGACGGUUAACUCCCUUGGGGAUCAUUGAACUCCCGAUUACUGUGGGGACAAAGCCGUUUGAAAGAACGGUGAUGCUGGACUUCGUCGUGGUAGAGGAAAGAAGCCCUUAUCAGAUGAUAUUGGGGAGACCGUUCAUGAGGAUAAGCCAAUGCGUUGUAUCAACGCAUUAUUUGGCGCUAAAGUACAGAGUAAAUAAAGUGGUAGGCGUUGUAAAAGGCGACCAGAGGAUGGCAAGGAGCUGUUAUGCUACAGCAGCCAAGGAGACAUUAUAGGUUACUUCUCUGGAUAAUCGAGGAGAUUCUAAAAAGGGUCGCCAAGAGCCUGUUGAAAAGCUAGAAGAGAUUGUUAUAAGCAGAAGCAACCCGAGUAGAGUGGUUAAGAUCGGAUCAGGACUGGUCGGGACAGUAAAAGACGAGCUGGUAAAGUGCCUACAGUCCCAUGCAGAUAUAUUCGCCUGGUCUCACGGGGACAUGCCAGGAAUUGAUCGCAAGGUAGCUUGCCACAAGUUGACAAUCAAGAAGGGGGCAAGGCCGGUGAGACAGAAGAGGAUAUGCUUUAACCAGGAAAGGUACGAGGCCAUAAACACCGAGGUGGAGAAGCUGUUGAAAGCAUGAUUUAUAAGGGAGGCCAAGUACCCAGAGUGGAUUUCCAAUGUAGUACUGGUGAAGAAGGCCAACGGGAAGUGGAGAAUGUGUGUGGAUUUCACAGAUCUUAAUAAGGCGUGCCCGAAAGACAGUUUUCCUCUACCAAAGAUAGACCAAUUGGUGGAUUCGACAGCGGGUCACAGUCUGCUCAGCUUCAUGGAUGCCUUUUCGGGAUACAACCAGAUACCCAUGGACGAGCAGGAUGAGGAAAACACCACCUUUAUAACUAAUAUGGGUUUGUUUUGCUACAGGGUAAUUCCUUUCGGCCUGAGAAAUGCCGGAGCUACGUAUCAAAGGAUAGCGAACAAGAUCUUCAAGCCCUUGAUUGGACAUACUAUGGAGGUAUAUGUAGACGAUAUGAUCACAAAGUCCAAAGAACCGAGGGAUCACGUGAAACACUUGGAAGAAACCUUUGAAUUGUUGAGGAAGUAUGAAAUGAGGCUAAACCCGGAGAAGUGUGCAUUUGGGGUUAGCUCGGGCAAAUUUUUAUGAUUCCUAGUAAGCCACCGAGGGAUCGAGGCCAACCCGGAAAAAAUACGGGCGGUGAUAGAAAUGAGGUCCCCACGAACAGUUAAGGAGGUGCAGAGCCUUACAGGGAAGUUGGCAGCAUUAAACCGAUUCAUCUCGCGGGCCACAGAUAAAUGUCACCCUCUCUUCCAAACCAUAAAGAAAGGGAAAAAGAUGGAGUGGACAUCAGAAUGCGAGGAAGCGUUUGAGCAGCUGAAGGAAUACCUGACCCGGGCCCCAUUACUAUCGACUCCGAGAGAGGGUGACCAGCUGCUGUUGUACUUAGCAAUCUCUAAAUGGGCUACCAGCUCGGUAUUAGUCAGGGAAGAAGAAGGAAAGCAACACCCGGUAUACUACACGAGCAAGGCCCUGGUAGAUGCAGAAACUAGAUACCCAUUGAUGGAGAAGUGGGCGCUGGCUCUAAUAACGGCAGCACGAAAACUCUGACCAUAUUUUCAGGCCUAUCAGGUUAUUGUGAUGACCGACCAGCCGCUUCGGCAAACACUUCAAAAAUCAGAUGCAUCGGGUCGAUUAGUAAAAUGGUCCGUAGAGCUAAGUGAAUUUGACCUCUCCUAUAGGCCCCGAGGAGCAAUCAAAGUCCAAGCUCUGGCAGAAUUUAUGGUUGACCGAGCUGAUACAGGGGAAGAAAUUCGGGAGGAGCAACUAACAGAGCAGGAGAAGCCAGAGGGGGUGUGGUUGGUAAUGGUUCACGGAUCAUGUAGUGAGCAAGGAUCCGGAGCAAGAGUUGUAAUACGGAGCCCAGAUGGAACCGAAAUAACGUAUGCAGUGAAGUUUGAAUUUCAGCUCACAAACAACCAAGCUGAAUAUGAGGCCUUUAUCACCGGGCUCGGACUUGCACAUGCUCUAAGAGCAGAGAGGGUAGAAAUUCGAGCAGAUUCCCAACUGGUGUGUAAUCAGCUCAAUGAUCAGUUCGAAGCAAGGGGAGAGAAGAUGUGUCUUUAUUUGAAGAAAGCGAAGCAGAUGGUUGGGCUUUUCCAAGCGGUGGAGGUAAAGCAGAUAUCUCGGAAUGAGAAUUACCGAGCAGAUAUGUUGGCUAGGAUGGCUGCCAUUGCAGAUCCAAAAUUACCUAAGUCGGUUCCACUAGAGGUGAGGAUCUCACCAAGUAUAGAGGAAGAAGCAGAGGUUAUGAGAAUAAGUACUGGAGAAUCUUGGAUGGACCUGAUUCGCGCAUAUGUCCGCGAUGGAGUUUUACCAGAGGACAAAAGGCAAGCAAGAAAAUUAAAAUGCCGAGCAGCGAGGUAUACGCUACUGGAUGGAGUGCUGUACUGCCGAGGGUUCACCUUGCCCCUUUUGAGAUGUUUGGAUGAUGAGGAGGCGGAUUAUGUGCUGAGAGAGAUUCAUGAGGGAAUAUGCGGCAAUCACUCGGGAGCAAGAACUUUAGCCUUCAAGGCACUCCGACAAGGAUACUUCUAGCCAACCAUGCACCAGGAUGCGAAAAAGAUGGCAAAGAAUUGUAAAACAUGCCAAAGCUUCUCCGAGGUUCCUGCACAACCCUCGGAAAAGCUGACGGCUAUGACAUCCUCGUGGCCUUUCGCUCAAUGGGGAAUCAACUUGAUUGGUCCGUUGCCUAAGGGACGAAGAGCGGCGACACAUGCAAUUGUGGCAAUAGACUACUUCAUCAAGUGGGUGGAAGUGGGAGUCCUCAGCCAAAUCACAGAGAGAAAGACAAUAGAUUUUAUUUGAAAAAAUAUCAUCUGCAGAUAUGGGAUCCCUUACGCCAUCAUCACAGACAAUGGGAGGCAAUUUGACAACAGCAACUUCAGGAAAUUUUGCCGAAACUUGGGGGUGGACCUGAAGUUCUGUACCCCCGCACACCCCCAGGCAAAUGGACAAGUGGAAGCAGCCAACAAGGUGAUAAAGAAGCUCCUGAAGACUAGAUUGGGAGAGAAUAAGGGAGCUUGGGUUGACGAGCUACCAGGAGUAUUGUGGGCCUAUAGGACAACUCACAAAACCGCCACAGGGGAAACCCCGUUCGCUUUAGCUUUUGGUCAUGAGGCGGUAGUCCCAGCAGAAGUGGGAGUGGGGACACAUCGGACGGAAUAUUUCACUGAGGAGCAAAAUGACGAGCAGAUCUGCUUGAGUCUGGACCUGCUGGAGGAAAAAAGGGAAGGGACAUCGCAGAGAGUGGCCCAGUGUCAACAAAGGGUCAUGCGUUAUUACAACAAGAACGUACGCGUGAGGCAGUUCCGAGCAGGAGAUUGGGUACUUAGGAAGGUGAACCAGAACACCCGGGAUCCUAACCAUGGCGCUCUUGGCCCAAAGUGGGAAGGCCCAUACCGAGUGAUAUGAGCCACUGGACCAGGAGCAUAUAAAUUAGCGUACCAAGACGGACGAGACGUGAAGAGGUCAUGGAACGCCGAACACCUGAAGAAGUAUUUCCAAUAAGCAAAAUGCUCUAUUAAAUCCUCACUCUGGCAAGUUAUUUCUGUUACAAUGCAUGAUGGCCUGUAGCACAUGCAUAUAUUUUGUAUUUUUGUAAUACAUUCAAAUUUCAAUAAAGAUGAAUUCAGAAUGAAAUCCCCUGCUAGCGAGCCCAAUAAGAAAUUUUUUACUAAGGCAAGUAAGUGCCUACUUCUGCUCGGUCAGUGAAAGACUAGCAGCUAAUUUCUUGUAAAAAUUUUACUAAGGCAAGUGAGUGCCUGCUUCUGCUUGGUCAACAGAAGACCAGUAGCUAAUUUACGAGAACUUUACUAAGGCAAGUGAGUGCCUGCUUCUGCUCGGUCAACAGAAGACCAGCAGCUAAUUUAUGAGAACUUUACUAAGGCAAGUGAGUGCCUGCUUCUGCUCGGUCAACAAAAGUCCAGCAGCUAAAGCUUCGAAAAUUCUACUAAGGCAACAAAGUGCCUGUUUCUGCUCGGUCAACGAAAGACCAACAGCUAAAGCUUCGAAAAUUCUACUAAGGCAACAAAGUGCCUACUUCUACUCGGUCAACAGAAGACCAGCAGCUAAUUUACGAGAACUUUACUAAGGCAAGUAAGUGCCUGCUUCUGCUCGGUCAACAAAAGACCAGCAGCUAAUUUACGAGAACUUUACUAAGGCAAGUGAGUGCCUGCUUCUGCUCAGUCAACGAAAGACCAGCAGCUAAAGCUUCGAAAAUUCUACUAAGGCAACAAAGUGCCUGUUUCUGCUCGGUCAACGAAAGACCAGCAGCUAAAGCUUCGAAAAUUCUACUAAGGCAACAAAGUGUCUACUUCUGCUUAGUCAACGAAAAACCAGCAGCUAAAUUUACGAAACCUUGACUAAGGCAAGUAAGUGUCUGCUCCUGCUCGGUCACUGAAGACCAGCAGGCAAUUUUGCAAAAAUUUUACUAAGACAAACGGAUGCCUAUUCCUGUUCGAUGCACUAAAGAACCAACAGGCAAAACCAGACAAGAAAGCCAAUAGAGAGCAUUCAAAAAAUUUUAUAAACGUUCAAAUGUUUACAAAGCAAAUGAAAAACUAGAGUCUUUACAAAAAUAAGACCUAAGGAUUAGGAGGAUCAACGGCCUCAGCAGGUGAAGGGUCAGCUAUCUCGGGAGGUGGAAGGUCAGUAAUAUCGGGAGGUGGAAGGUCAGCAAUAUCGGGAGGAGGAGGCACGGACCUCUGUCCUACUUCAAAAACACGCUGCCCAGCUUCUCCCUCCUGCACCCCAUCCAAAGGAGCCUCCACCUGCUCCUGCUCACCCUGCUCCUUAUCUGCUUGGUCGACCUCUGCCAUAUACCGCUGCACUCCGGCCUCCAGCUUGCUCAUGUCCAGCUCGGGAUAUUCAGUCUUAAGCACAGACAUGAUGCACUUGUAGGAGAAGGCAACCCCAAAAUCAUACUCGGCAUCCAGCCGAUCAUCCACAUCAGCGGAUUUGCCUCUCUCCUCAGUCAGCUGCUCACCCAAGGAUUUGAUUUCCCCCUCAAGGGCGGCCCUCAAAGUAUUCCUUUCAGUUUGAGUAGCUUGAAGAUCAGAUCUCAGGUCACCCAACUCGCCCUCGAGUUUGGAGGAAGUGGAUUCAGCAACCGCAACCUUCUCCUCUAGCUCCGUAAUCUCCUUGUUCAGCUCAGCCAGCUUCUCCUUGGAGCGAUCAACAGAGUCAGCUUUCUUCUUCAAUUCCUGAUUAUCAGCUUGGAGCUUCCUCUCAUGGCGCGCGGACCCAAUCUUAUAGCACGAAACCAUAGUGGCCAACCUGAAGGACACUCUCUGAACAGAAGCAGCUAGCUCGGAGAGGUUCAUACUCUCGAUGUCCUUCACCAUCUUGGGCCCCACCGAUUUCUUGAAAUCCUUCUGAUACGGGCUCAGGUAGUCUGCUUGAUCCCGAGAUGGUAGAGGAGAAGAUCGGUCCCCAGACUGGUGGCUGGCCUCAGGACUCUUGUCAGAAGUUUUCUCCCCGCCACUCUUACGGGGUGGGGGAGGGGGCAGAGCAGGGACAGGAGCCUUGGAAGGGCCGACGCUGGUUUUCUUCGGAGGAGGAGGGGGGUUGCUGGAGCUACUUGGAGCUCGACCACUCUUCCUGCUCAUUGCGCUAAGGAUCGUGUUAUCCAUUCCAACAGCUAGGUCCACUAGGCCCGAACCGACCAGGCUUGUUGGGGACAGGAGGUCUUGGCAGGUAGAAGCGUUAAACAGAGCAGUUUCCACCCAAAGCAAAGGUCGAUCUUCAAGCCCCCCGAUUAAACCCCACGAUUCUGAAAUAGCAAAAGAGGUUAAAGAACUCGAUAAGUGACAAUUUGACUAAGAACAUAGGCAAAAAUGAACGACCUGGGGUGACAAAAUGUGUGGGAAGAUAAAUGUCCCCACCAAGCGACCGAACCGCUGGACACCAAUUCCCUCCAGCAAAGAAGAAUUUGUUCUUCUAAUUUUUACAUGAAGAGGGAAACCCAAUGAUCGGUUUCCUCUUUGCAGAACUGGACAUAAAGUAGUACCAGCCCGCUUCCCUCGGGCUACUCCGCAGCUGGUACAGAUAUUUCACUUCAACAAGGGAAGGCUCCUCCGACCCGCACCUCUCUCACAACACAAACAUUGCCGAGAGAACCCUCCACCCAUUUGGGUGUAGCUGACCUGGGGCUAGGUGCAUAUCGCCCAAUAUCUUGGCAAAAUAACGUUGAAGGGGCAGCCGAGCUCCUAGUCUGAAACUCUCCAAAUGCAUCGUCACAUACCCUUUCGGAGGCCGACUAGGGACAUCACCUUUUCCAGGAACUACAAGAAGAACAUCGUUGGGGAUGUCGUAGAGGUUCCUAAGCUUAAAUAGAUCAGUGGGGGUGGUGGCACAAGCUAUGAAAUCAAUAGGGUAGGAAUCAGCCUCCACCCUAUGGCCAAGAUGCCUUUUUUUAGCAGGUCCGCUCGGUCCGAAACUACUCCCCUCACCAUCACCAGUUCCUUCAGGGAUCCCAACCCCACUAAAGCCGUGGUCCUCACCAGAGCCCGACGCAGGCCCACCUCUAUUCCCUACAAGCUCUAGUUCGGGGGAGGGAGAGACAACCAAGGGUCGUGGGUACUCAAGGGUAUCCUUACCAUGGGAAGGACCUACACUACUGGAGGGGCCUAAGAAAUCUGUGGGUAUUGACACGUUGAGGCCUGAAUCCCCUGAUUCUUCAUCACCCUCGUCAACAAUUAACUUUCUUUUCCGAUUUGACAUAUCAGAAUCCCAAAAGAAAAACAAAGAAAAGAAAGUUUAGGGUUGACAAGGUUUGACUAUCAAUUUCUACUCUUGACUCAUUUCACUCACAAGACCAGAAACUGGGGGACUGGUGUUAAGCGAAUAAAAGCACCAGGUCGGCCAUACUAUUAUUGCCACCCCGGCAUGGAUCACCUCAGCCCUGUGGUACGAGCAGAGCACAGGGGCACACACCAACUAGAUGUUCAUAUCGAACCGAUAUACAUUCCCCAGAAAAGCGGGAACACGAUCCCACAGAAUCACGGCAGUUGUGCUUUGCCCAGAACCGUUGAAGGGCACGGGAGAUCCCACGUUUGCCACAAUGCAACAAUCAGAGCCCCAUGAGGGGCGGCCACCACCCGAAAAAGGGGGGAUAGAGGGUAAGCGGAAAACGUGGGACAAACAGCGGCUAUAAAAGAAGAGGAAAUCGAUGAAGAAAAGGACACUGAAAAAUUGAGAGGGGAAAAUGCUGCCAAAUUACAACCAGACCAUUUUCUUACAAAUUUCGAACAAACUUCUUGAAUCCAAAUUACAUUGUUUUCCCGUAAACACCUUGUACUAACUUAGGCAUUGGAGGGUUUACGCCGGCAAAACCACCGGCGUCUCUUAUCCGUUUUUACUGAACGCAGGUCUAGUGAGAGAAAUGAGGGUGAUUCCAGCCUUAGCGGUUCGUGCAACAGUCGAUAUCUUAAACGUUGGUGAAAGAAUCUGGUCGGUCCAAGGACGAGCAGAUUUCGACAUCAACAAUGGCAACUCCACAAUGAUGAUAAUGAUAAUUUUGUGAUUCAGACACGUUGUUAGGAAUUCUGUAUUGGUUUUUCUCUCGCCUUCGAUGUCUACGAUGAAGCAUAUUAUGGCUUUUAAUCUGCAACUGCUGCAAAAUGGACUCACUAGCUAGCAAAUAAUAAUAUAUAGUGCUGUCAAAUUUAUAAAGAUUAUAUAUACACACACUUUCGUGUUCAAUGCACCGACACUAGAUGUAUAUUGGCAUUUAGAAAAAUUGGCAAUAACUAAUGACUUUCAAGAUUAAUUAAAUGACAAUAUUCAGUCUAUCAUAAAACAAGUUUUCAACAAGUGAAGAGGAGGUACUCUUUAUAAUUGGAUAAUUAAUGCAACCUUCAAUAUUUUCAACCAAAAAAAAAAUGAUAUUUGAUAUGUAUUCAACAUUAGGGAAAAACCUCCCAUAUCGAAGGUUUGCUUAAACGAUCAAAUAAAUCCACUUAGUUUCGUAAAUGGUUGUACAUAUCCUCUUUUUGACUAUUUAUUGGGUUAUGUUUGAGAGUUAGGACUAAGUGUGGGAUUAUACUAACUUUGAGAUUAAAUAUUAUUCUAUAUUUAGCAAUUUUCCUUAGAUUGGAUUAUGAGAGACUAAAUUCUAAGUUAGUUGUUAAAUAAAGGGGAUUGGCAAUACCAAUUUAUAAAUAGAUUUAAAUGGGAUUAGAAUAAGAGGAUAAAAUGUUCAUUUGUAAUAUUUCUUUCAUAUAUAACACCAUCUUUUAUUUAUUACUUCAAAUUUAAUUAAUGAAUUAAUUAUUUUAUUCAUGAUUUACUUGAAAUAUAUUUUUUAUUUUGUUUUUAUAUUCUAAUUAAAUUGGUACUUUAAUUUAAUAAUUUUUUACAUUAAUUGAUUGUACUAAAUUUAAUAAUCACCAAUGUGAUAUUAAAAUAUAAUUAUGAAAAUUAAUAAUACUAGUAAUUAAUUGAUUUUAUAUAUUAUUUGCUAAUUUUUUGAUAAAAUAAAAUAUAUAUCUAAAAUAUCUAAAUAAUCAAAAAGUUUUAUUAAUUUAUAUUUUUUAUUACAAUUAUGACUACCCAUAAGUAAUUUACUGUAUAUUUAAUGUUCUUAUUAAUUAUAUUUAAAUUAAUCUUAAUUAUUAUUCUUAAAUAUUCAUAAAUAGUUUUUUAUUUAAAUAUAAUUUAAUAUUGUCUAAUCCAAUGUUGUACUAAACAUAAGACAGUAGUGUAUAAUCCAACAUAACACUUAGUCCAAUUUAGUCUUGCAUGCCAAAUGUAAUCUUAUACACUUUGAUUACAACAAGCCAAUAAUUGACUUAAAUAAACUUCUAUAAAAUUAUAAGUUAAAAUUAAAAUAGUAUGAUAUAUAAAAUAAGAUAAAAUUUAUAAAUUAUUUUGAAUAUUAGAAAAAUGAUUUUAACAUUAUUAAUUUGUCAUAUUCUUUUACUACUAAUAAAAUUUGUUUGACAAAUUAAUAAUAUUAAAAUAAUUAUACCUAACAUUCACAAUAAUUUAUAAAAUUUAUAUAUUUUGUUAGCAAUUUUUUUAAUUAUGUCUAUAUUAAUAUAAAUCUUAAAGUCAAUUUUUGGAUUAAUAGAUUUUAGUAUAUAUAAUAAUAACUUAAUAUUAAAAAUAAUUUUCAUUACAUACGUUAUUCUAUUAAUUAUCUUAUUGUAAUAUUUUAUUUGUAUCAUAUGAUAUUUAUUAAUUAUUUUUUUAUCUUAUUAGUAUAUUUAUAUUUAUUUGUGUUGUUGUAAUCAAAGGGUAUAGUAACUAAAAAUGUGUUUAUGUGACUAUUUAACCUAAAGGGUCUUUGUGACCAUUUAAGUAAACCUUGGAAAUGUGUGACAAUAGUCAUUCUAAUGACUUUCAAGAUUGAAAGUGAGUCGGAUUAUCAAAUUAUGAAGCAUUAAUACGUAAUGUUUUAUGGUUAUUUUAAGGUUGAAGCUGGUUUAUUCAUUAAACAAGCUUUUAACAAGAGGAGAAAGUUCCCUUUAAAAUUUAAUAAUUAAUACAACCUUCAAUAACAAAAAAGUCAUAUAAUAAGGAUGAUGAUUCUUGUUCACUUGGAUACAUAUAUAUAACCUAUGAUGUGGUAAGCAAGGUAUCAAUUAUGUAUUUCUUGUAUCUGAAAAAAUGAAUAAUCCUUUAACGAAGGUUAUCAUCAAUUGCAGGUUUCUAGUUUGGCUGCUUAGUUUUAGGACUACGAAUUUUACAAUAUCAUAAUUAAAGGAAAGAAUAUAUGCGGUAGUCUUUGCCUGAUCUACUUUCUUCUUCUUAAUUAACCACUUAAAAGGAAAGAAUAUUGUAUACGCAGCGCACUAUAAUACUCUAAUUACCAAUUCUUUAUCUUAUAAUAUAAGUUCAUAGUGAUUAAUUUGCCCUUCUCCAGCAAAAAAACAAAUCCCAUUUCAGCACAUCUACAAGAGCCCUCAUUUCUCUUUGCUCCAGCCAAUUGAUAGCAGAAUCAUCACAGACACCUUGAGCUCCGUCAAUCAUCAUAGACAAUUGGUGACUAGUGGGAGCAUUACAAGGAAGGUACGACGAGUACAAACUGAUAGAUUUGUUUAUAUGAUUCGGCUGUAGUUUUUAUAUAUGGUUAAAUUAUGACAAUAAUCAAGAGAUAAUCAUGUACCUCAUUAGUUUCAUAAAUGUACAUACUAAUUUAUUCCCCUGCUUGCCAGAAUCAAACAUGUAGAAUAAGAUAAAUUUUAAGAUUUAAACUUUUCAAUUCAUUAAAAAUCUAGUGGGAUAUUAAUCGGUAAAACCACUUCGGGGUAGUACAAGAGGUUUGUGGUGCUAACCAAUUUAUGUGAGUGGAGAAAGAAUUAGGCUUUUUUAAUAAAAAUUAAUAAUCAUAAUAAUAAAAGGACAUAAAUUUCAAGAUUUAAAACUUUAGACUUCAUUAGAAGUAAGAGGGGGAUCGUAAAAAAUUUGAAUGUAACUUAUCGAUCGUGGAAUGGAUUUUUUUUUUUUUUUUGUUGCAGCUAUUUACACACCUUUGAACACAUGUUAGGGUGAGGGUAUUUCAAUAUUUUACCCACAUCUCAAUAAAAUAUUUUGAGGUGAUGCUACCACUAAACAACUCAUUAAACUCAUUUACUUAAUACACACACUUCUAAAAUUUAAAAUGCACAAUUUUAUUUUACAAACCCAUUAAUACCUAAAAUACCCUUAUUAAGUUAAAUUAUCACAAUUUCUCUUAUCAUUUUCUUUUCCCAUCAUUUCUCCGUUUCUUCACUCUUUUCUUCUUCAUUUUUGGAGCUUUACCCAUAGCUUUUUUAUUCCAAAUUCUCAAACUUUUUAUUUUAUUUUUUAAUAGCUAUUUUUCCCGUUGAUAUUUCAUGCGUUUAUAUGAUUCAGCUAUAGUUUUAACUUUUAUAUAUGGUCAAGUUAUAACAGUAAUCAAGAGAUAAUCAUGUUCAUCAUAAGUUGCAUAAAUGUACAUACUAAUUUAUUCCUCUACUUGCCAGAACCAUACAUAUAAAAUGAGAUACAUUUUAAGGUUUAAUCUUAGGGUUGGCAAUAAGCUCCGGAUCCAGCCCAGAUCCGCAACAAUCCGGAAGAUCCGGAUCUGGAAAAAUACGGAUCCGCAUGCUAAAAAAUGCGAAUCCAGAUCUUAAAAAUCACAAUCCGUGCGGAUCCGGAUGUAAGUGCAUCCGGAAAACCGAAUAUCUGGAUCCACAAUUUUUUAUAAUUAAAUUAUUUAUUUAAUUAAAUUUCAAUUGAAAAAUAGAUAAAUUAAAUUAUUUAUUUAAAUGUAUAAGCAUAAUUAACUCUCUAGUCUUCAUUAACUUUAAAAAAUAUGUUAAUAAACUAAUAAUAAUUAUAAUAAUUAGAGAAUAUUGUAAUAAAUCGGUUUACCUUACAUUUUUUUUAUGCUUGAUUUAUAUUGUGAAAUUAUUAUUUGUGAAUUUAUGGUGUUGUUGUAUGUUAUUUAUGUUGAAUUGAAGUUAAAUUGUUGAUUCUUAAAUUAUAAUUGAAUUUUAUUUAAUAUUAUUAUGUAAAUUAUUAAAUAAAAUUAUAUUUAAAUUUAUUAUUAUGCAUAUCCGAAUAUCCGGAAUAUCCGUCCGCAAUUUGUGCGGAUGUUAUCCGCAUCCGGAUUCUUAUUUUUUUUUGCGGAUCCGGAUGUCAAAAGUUUAAUCCGGAUCCAGAUGCACUAAGAUCCGGAUCCAGAUCCAAAUUUUGCCAUCCCUAGUUUAAAACUUUGCAAUUCGUUAAAAAUCUUGCGGGAUAUUAACCGAUAAAACCACUUAGGGAUAGUACAAGAGGUUUAUGAUUUCUCAACCCAUUUAUGUGGGUGGAGAGAGAAUCAAGUGUUUUUUUAAAUAAAGAAUAAUUAAUAAUUAAUAAUCAAAUUAAUAAAAAUAAAUAAAUUGUAAGGGGGAUCGUAAAAGUUUUGUAUGUAACAUAUCGGUAGUGGAAAGAAUUUUUUUUGGAGAGGCUAUUUGGCUUGGAACAUAUAUUACAAUACUCUCUUCAUCCACUUCUCAAUAAAAUAUUUUAUUAAAAAAAUUUCCUUAAUUGAAUUAUUGUUUUAGCCAUAUAUUAUGUUCGUUUAUCUCCCUAAAGUUUUUAUUCUUUCACCCUUUUUUCUCUUUUCCUCUGUGUCUCCCCAAUUUUUUUCCAGUCCUAUGGGGUUCUUAUUAAAGCUUCUAUUGAGUAAAAUCUAUAUUAAAAUUUCUUAUAAAAAAAAAAGAAAAAAAGAAUUCGUCUCUUUUAAAAAUUGUCUUUCCUUCCUUUACCCUUGAGUUACUAUUAGAUGUAUAAGCUCAAGAUGAGACUAGUAAUUGGAUUUCCAUUAAAAGUUUUAAUUUCAAAAAAUCAAAAGAUCACCAUACAAAUAUCAAAAGGUCACUAACUUAAUUAUACUGGUAAUAAUUAAGAUAAAUAAAAGACCUACUAUUUCUGUUUGAUGUUAUUAUGAUAAAGAAAGAAAAAAAAGAAAUAGCAAGUUGCUGUAGUUGCAACAAUUGAGGAUAUGCUAAUAAAAGUGUUACAGAGAUAGAUUUAAUUGAUAAAAAUAAGAUUUUAAUAAAAAGUUUUGAGAGAAACAAUUAAUAAAAACUAAUGAUAUUUAUUAAGGGUAUAUUAUGAAUAUUUGUGGCCUUUUUUGAGAUAAUUAAAUAAAUUUUAAGUUGUGAUAAUGUGUUUAUUACAUAAGUGGAUUUAUUCAGUAUUCUAGUGGAUUUAAGUAGUCUCAACUCUCAUAUUAUAAUAAAUUUUUAUAUUGCUACAAUUGCCCUAAUAUAGUGGACAGUAUUAUAUUGUACACAUAAGAAUACUCUAGCACCCAAUUAAAAUUUUUAGUAAAACAUAUAAGAACUCUAAAUGUAAAGAGAAUUCCGUCAAGGUAUUGCAGUAGUAUUUAAUGCUCUUGGCUAGUGUAAACUAUUGUGCCACAUGUAGUAUUUCGAUCCUGACAAGUGCAUUACAAAUAAUGACUCUUAUUUCAGGUCUUUUAGGUACUUUAGAGAUAUAUUAGCUAUGGAGCUAGUAUUAGGUCAUCACGUGCUUCUUUUAAUGAAAGAUGUGGUUCAUUUUUCCCUAUACCAAAGCAUUUUCUGUGGAAUAAUCGUGUCAAAUGCUCAUUUAUCAAGGGCACGUGUGGUGUUGUCAGUAUGAUAUGCUAACCCACGUGCACUUAUGGAAAAUCAAAUGAGAAAAAUGAAUUAAAAAAUACAAAAGCUAAUUAAUAAUGUUCGAGUUUGAGAUGAAGAAUAUUUAAUUUUAUGGAUAUAAAGAUAAGAAAUAUUUAAUGAGAACUAUCCUAAUAUUAAAAUACUAUUUCAAAUAAAUUUUAUUUGACGUAAUAGUAUGUCUCAUAAUAAGACUCAUCGAUGUCAGAAUCGUACAUGUAAAAUGAGAUAAAUUUUAAGGUUUAAAACUUUGCAAUUCAUUAAAAAAUCUAGUGCGAUUUUAAUUGGUAAAACCUCUUAGGGGUAGUACAAGAGGUUUAUAAUUCCCUAAUCCAUUUAUGUGGGUGGAGAGGGAAUUAAGAGUUUUUUAAUAAAGAAUUAAUAAAAAUUAAUAAUCAUGUUAAUAACUUAUUGGUAGUAGAAUGGAAUUUUAUUUGGAGAGGCAAUUUGGCUCAGAACAUAUAUUAAAAUGAGGAUAUUUGAACCCACCACAAUACUCUCUACAUCCACUUUUCAAUAAAAAAUUUAUUACAAAAUUUUCCUUAAUUAAAUUAUUAUUUUAGCCAAAUAUUACGUUCAUUUAUGUCCCUAAAGUUUUUAAUUUUUAACCCUUUUUUCUCUUUUCCUGUUUGUCUCCCCAAUUUGUUUCUAGUCCUAUGUGGUUCUUAUAUUUUAAAGCUUCUAGGAGUAAAAUCUCUACUAAAAUUGAUUAUCAAAAAAAAAAAUCUCUUUUAAAAUCUGCCUUUUCUUUAUCCCCAAGUUACUAUUAGAUGUAUAUGUUCACCGUGAAAGUUUAGAUCUCAAACCUUUUCUGUAUCUUAAAUGGAUUGUCGUGGAUAUGCCUAAGAUGAGCAUUUUCUUCCUCUUCACUUCAUCAUCUUUGAUAUAGUAAUUAUAAUUGAUUGAGGAGUGUUAAAACGCAUUGUGAUGAAUGAAUGCACAAGCUAUGUGAUUAAGACUGCAUUUAUCAGCUGGUGGGCGACCGCAAAUAUUAGGCAGGUUAUUCACAAUAGUGCUACUGAAGCUUUAUAUGGAAUAAGGAGACCAAGCCUCUAUAUGAUAAGAGUUGUAUGAAUACCAAAUGAAUUGUAAGAGGAUAUGGUUAAUUUAGAUUGCAAUUUAAGAAAGCUUGAAUUCUAAGAGCACAGAAAUGGGAUCAGUCUUGCUCAAGUGUAAACUCCGUCAGUUAGGAAGCUGUCCAUCAAAUGUAAAUAUUUAUGUGAUUGAGAGAAAUUUUGGACUUUUGUUGAAAACAAAAAUGCUGUUUGCAUUUGCUUGCCCCCAAGGAUAUAUGUUGUGCAAGCAUAUAUGUUGAGACCGGCAGAUGAAAUCACUAAACUUUUACAGUUGAUCUGAGGCUCCUCUAAAGAAGGAUUUGGAUUUUGGAAUUAAUUUGGGGAAAGGGUUUUUUUUGGGUAUAUGAGUGUAAGCGUUCCUUCAAUCACGUAGCUUUGUGCCAUUAACAUAAUGGCAAUUCCACAAUGGGGAUAAUGAUAAUUUUGUGAUUGGGAACUCUUUACUGGUUUUUCUUUCGCCAUCUGUGUCUAUGAUUAAGGUUGUUUAAAGUGUUAUGGCUUUUAAUCUAUAACCAUUGUGAAAUGGACUCACUAGCUGGCAAAUAAUAAAACAUAGUGCUGUCAAAUUUUGUAAGGAUUAUGCAUACACACUCUUUCGUCUUCAAUGCCCUAAAACUGGGUAACUACAUGUAUGAUUUUCAUUCAGAAAAACUGGCAAGAACUAAUGACUUUGCAGAUUAAAAAAUAAGUAGGAUUAUCAGAUUAUGUAGCAUUGUUAUGUAAUGUCUUGUGGUUUUUUUAAGGUUAAAGUUGGUUUGGAAAUUAAUUAAAAGACGAUAUUCAUUCUAUCAUGACGAGUUUUUAACAAGAGGAGAAGGUUCCUUUUAUAAUUUACUAAUUUAUACAGCCUUUAAUAUUAAAACAAAAUUUUAUAUAUUAAGGACGAUGAUUCUUGCUCACUUAGUAAGAUAUGUACAUAACAUAGGUUUGUUAAGCAAGGAAUCAAUUAUGUAUUUCUUGUAUCUGAAAAAAUGAAUCAUCCUUUAACGAGGGUUAUCAUCAAUUGCAGGUUUCUAGUUUGGUUGCUUGGUUUGAGGACUAUGAAUAUUACAUUGUCAUAACUAAAGGAAAGAAUAUAUGCCAUGGCCUUUGGCUGGUCUACUUUUUUCUUUUCAAUUAACCUCUUGCGGGGAAAGAAUAUUGUAUAACACAGCACACUAUAAUUACCAAUUCUUUAUCUUAUAAUAUAAGUUCAUAGUGAUUAAUUUGUCCGUCUUCAGCCAAAAAAAAAAAAAGUCCCAUUUCAGCACAAAUACAAAAGCUCUCAUUUUUCUUUGCUCCGGCCAUUUUAUAGCGGUGUCAUCACAGACACCUCAAGCUCUGCCGAAUCAUCAUAGACAAUUCGUGAUUGGUGGGAGCAAAUUGAAAGUGUUUAUAAAUAUAACUUAACAAUUCACUAGAUAGCUUGGAUUCAAAAUUAGAAAUAUCAAUCAAUAAAAUAGGAAGAAAAAAUAUUGGAGGUAAUUGGAAUUAGUCUCAAAUUUCAAUUAAAAAAAGCGUGCAGUUUCAUAUAUUAAUUCACUGAACCAUUUUUUUAUUUUUAUUUUUUUUUGCUGGAAAAACGAGUUUCCCAGAUCUGUCCAUUGUCAAAAUCAACUGAUGAACCACCACACUUCGUCGCAUCGCCAUUCACCAACAGCCCCAACUUUUGAGUCUCGUACCCUUGUUAAACAAAUACACAAUAAAACAGUGAGAUAACAAAUUAUAUGUUAGCUAAUUUAAACAAUAGUGUAAACUAGGAAUCGGAAACACUAAAUGAAGAACAGAAGAGGCAGAAACUGAAUCGAAAUAAAAAAAAUUGAAACCCGAGGCCUGCACAAACACAGUCUCCUUAAAACAGAUUUACCACCUUUACGGAGUGCUUAAGGUUUGCUAGGUAUAUGUUUCCCAGGAUGCAACGGGUACGAUUUUCCAGUCAAGCACAGGCUGGAAAUUCCGACGAACCACAACCAGCGAACUCGAUCAAAGAAAAACGAAGAAGGAUGAAGGGAAAACAAGUGUGGUUUGUGCUCGUUUUUGCAAGUAGAAAAAACAGAAGUGAAGGUGCCUUUUUAUACUCAAGGGAGGAUGUAACAGCUUUUGUAUUGAAUUUUCGAAUUCAAUACAUUUUAAUUAUUUUGUUAUAACAGCCAAAUCAAUUUAAUAAAUUGAUUUCAAAAUUGAAUUCAAACAAAACGUGAAUAACAGCUAAAUAAUUGUAAAAGCUGUUACCAAUGCUUUGAAUUCACAUGAACUGUUACAAUAAAAAAUUCAAAAGGAAUUAAAAACGUGCCUAGCUUGCAUGGAUGAUUUUGGGCUGACAUUCGUGUACGCAGGACGCGCACGAGUUCAACUAAAUCGGGCUUGGAUUCGCACCCCCCCCUGCGCACGCGCGUGUGGAGAGAGCCUCUAUCCUCAUAAUUCUUACUCAUGCAUGGUUAAGUGUUUAUAUUUAAACACUAAUUCCUAGGCUUCUUUUUCCCAUGUGGGAUAAGACUCAUUUCCUUUUAAAUUUCCAACUUCAAGGGUGAACUUUGAGAGACAAUUUCUCAUUCACCCAAGCACCAUUUUGAGAAAAUAAAAUUAUACUAUUGAAGUAUUAACGGAGUAGAAUCCGAACCUCACAAUAUUUUCCACUUUCGUUAAGUGGGACCCACUCAAAAUGUGCUCUCAAAAUAGCAUGUUAUGCUAUUUUUCCAACAACCCUUACUUCAAUAAUCCAGACCCAAGAUGUCAUCAAUACCCAAACCCUCAAUUUCAUCUUCUUCUUCUUUUUUUAAUUGACCCAAGAUCUGCCAAAUAUUAUGUUAAUUAAUCUCCCUAAGGCUUUUAUUUUUUUCACCCUUUUUUCUCUUUUCCUCUCCGUCUCCCCAAUUUUUUUUCUAGUCCUGUGUGGUUCUUAUACUUUAAGGUUUCUAUUGGAGUAAAAUCUCUAUUCAAAUUGCUUAUCCAAUUUUUUUUUUCUUUUAAAAUUUGCCUUUCCUUUACCCUCGAGUCACUAUUAGAUGCAUAUGCUUGUGAUGAAACUUUAGUAAUUGGAUUUCUAUUAAAUAUUUUAAUUUAAAAAAAUGAGAAGAUCACUAUAAAAAUAUCAAAAGAUCACCAACUUAAUUAUAGCAAUAAUCAAGGGAAUUAAAAGACUUACUAUUUCUGUUUGAACUUAUUAUUAUAAAGAAAGAAAGGGAAAAAAAAAGUCGCUGCAACUACAUCAAUUGAGGACAUGCUAUGAAAAGUAUCAUAGAAAGUAGUGAGAGAAACAACUAAUGAAAAUUAAUGAUACUUAUUGAGGGUAUAUUGGGAAUGUUUGUGGGUUUUUUGAAUGAAAAAAUAAAAUUUUAAGUUGUGAUAAUGUGUUUAUUAUAUAAAUGGGUUUAUUCAGCAUUACAAUGGGUUUAAAUGGCUUUAUCCUUCAUAUUAUAAUAAAUUUUUAUAUUACUAUAAUAGCCGUAAUAUAGAGGACAAUGUAAUGAAAAUAUUGUUACUGUUAUACUUAUUAAAGAAACAAUAUUAUCUUGUACAGACAAGAACACUCCAGUGCUCAAGUGUAAAAGUUUUAGUAAAACGUAUAAGAACUCUUAAGUGUAAACAAAAUUUCAUCAAGGUGCUGUAAUAUAAUCUAAUGCUUUUUGGUAGUGUAAACUAUGUGUGCCACGUGUAGUAUUUCAAUCUUCACAAGUGGCAUUGUAAAUAAUGGCUCUUAUUUCAGUUCCUCGUAGGCACUCUAGUAUUUGGUCAUCACGUGCUUCUUUUAAUGAAACAUCUGGUUCAUUUUAUCCUUAUAUGAGAGCAUUUUGUGCGGAAUAACCAUGUCAAAUGCUCAUUUAUCAAGGACACGUGUUGUGUUCUCAGAACAUAGUAAAAAUAUGAUACGCUAACCCAUGUACAUUUAUGGAAAAUCAAAUGAAAACAAAGAACUAAAAAAAAGUACAACGGCUAAUUAAUAAUGUUUGAGUUUGAGAUGAUUAAUAUUUAAUUUUAUGGUUGUAAAGAUAAGAAUAAAAGUACGGCUAGUGAGGACUAUCCUCAUAUUAUAACACUAUUUAAAAUAAAUUUUGUUAUAAAAAAUUUUAUUCAAUUAGGUAUAUAUUUUAGGUACAAACUCAGCUAUUUGACAUAAUAGUAUGUCUCAUAAUAGGACUAACAUUUGGUCAAAUCAACCUAUUUCAAUAAGAUCCAUCGAAAUUAAUAUUUAAAAGAUUUAUCAUCUCAUUAUACAAUACACAACUUUGCCAUCUAGUAGAGAAUGAUUGGUUGGCACACCAUAGUUUACAUAAAUAUUUCUAAUAUUUGAAUCAUUUGUUAGGAAAUUUUAAUCCUACCAAUAUCUUGUAAGUAAACAUAUCAAAUAAAUAGUAAAUAGAUAAUAUAUAGAGAAUAAAACCAAUCAUACAACACAAUAAUUUACCCGAGAAAAAUUCCUACACUAGAGAAAAACCACGGCCGCCAAAGAUGACGAAAGAAAAUCCACUAUGUAAAGAUCAUUACAAUCACUCUAGUAUUUUCUUCACUUACAAAACCCCAAUAACAAAUAAUCUCUCAUUCUAGAAACUGUCUACUUGUAUAGAACUAAUUAUUGCAAACAAGUGAAUCUAACCUUCUUAUAUAUUGUGAUUGUUUCAUAUAAGAGAAAUAUUUAUUUCCUUAUAUAAUUUGUAUUCCUCCUUUAAUAAAUUCUUUGGAAUUACUUAUUCCUUAAACAUGAACCCCCCAAACAAAAAAAUUACUAGGAAAUAUUUUAAUUUAGGAUUUACAAAUCCUCAUUGAAAAAGGAGAUAUGUUACUUCAAAAUCUCCACUUUGGCGAGUUUUUUAAUUAAACGACAAAAUAUGAUCCGCCAUACAUCUAUGCAACCAUGUCGUCUCCACCUUUUUUAGUAUACUAAAACCACACUGACAUUGGACUAAUGAGAAUCACUCCACCAUGAGUAAAAUCUUGUCCUCUAUCCAGCAACCAUAAUUUUCUACAUCGAGAAUCAUCAUACUUCACAUUAUCCAGAGUACACAUGUUUGGCAUAUGUCGAUCACAUUUCCGAAGUUACCCACUCUCAUGUUUGGCUUCUUUGAGAGUCCUCAACGAUCAAGAUAAAAAGUCCACCACAUACCUUGCAUAAAUACUAAACUACAUGUUGUGUGCACAUCUUGUGGACCCAUUAGCAAUAACACAUCCUCUUCCACGACACACCAAUAGAUGAGAUAAUUAGUAUCUCCUUCUAUUAAUUUACAGCUACUUUCCAAAUUUGCUAUAUUCUAACAAUCUCUUUUAAGAUGUUUUGAUUACCUACACUCCUCCAGGGGUUUCUACUAGUGGAAUAGGCCUGACAUUGCUCUUUGCUUUACUUGUAUAGACAGAUUGAAUCAGUAUGUUAUUGACUUGAGCUUCCCAAAAGCCAAAAUUAAUUAUUCCGUCAAAUUUUUCUAUUUCUAUCUUCAUAAGUUUUGAAAACCUCCUUGCUGACGUAUUUGCUCUACAUUGCAGCCUUAGCUCUAUUAUCACCUGCUAAGAAAUAAUUAAUCUCACCUAAGAUUUGCAAGAAAAAAUAUGAAAUAAAUAGUAAAUAGAAAAUAGGUGGAGAAUAAAGCUAAUAAAAUAAUACAAAAAUUUACAUGAAAAAUUUCUAUAUUGGAGAAAAAUUAUAAUAGCUAAGGACGAUAAGAGAAAAAUUUAUUAUGUAAAAAUUAUUAUAAUUACUCUAGGGUUUUUCUCACACCUAAAACACCAAAAGCACCUAAUUUUAAUAGAACUACUUUUCUCUCACACUGAAAACUAUUUACUUAUAGAUAACUGAUUGUUGAAUUAUGCAGAGAAGUAAACUCAAUCUCUAUAUAUAUAUGUAGUGAUUAUUUCAUAUAGAAGUUGCAUUCUUUUCCUUAUAUGAUUUGUAUUCCUCCUUGAAUAAGUUAAGUUCUAAAGAGAAAAUUACUUAUUUCUUAAAUAUGAAUUAUCUUCAAUAAGAAAACUGAAAAGUGUAGAAAAUUCCUAAUUUAAGACUUAAAAAUCUUAUUUGAAAAAAGAGACAUCUCCCAAUAUCUUCAAAUCCUCCUUACAAUGCCACCAAUCUCUUUUGUGACUAGCCCAGUUGAAACUUUUAAUGGAUGGGCUGUAAUUGCGAAUAUCCAAAUAAAACAAAUUUCCAUAGGUAUAUUGGUAGAUUGAAUGACAACUAACAACACAUGAUUUGAUUAACUUACUUCCAAAAAAAAAGAAAAAAAAGAUACAAUGGAUGAACAUUAGACUCUUGUGCCAACUCAUGGAAUUCAUCAAUAAGGCCUUGGCUGAUCCACCUCAUGACUAGUAGAGUUCAAACCCCCGCUAAAUAGUAAAAAAAUAUUUGGAUUAUUAAUUACUCUUUCUUAAGUCUAUUUAAACUUAACUUUGAGAAUUAUGAACGUCUACACUAUAAUUAAAACAAUACAAGCCCACCCGUUUGUAUUUAAAAUUUUGUUUGAAUUUAUUCACGAGCAACAAGAAUAGUAUAAAUGGAAAAAAAAACCAUCAAAUAAUAUCCCAUGACUCUGUUUCUUCAAUUUCAGGAACAAUGGUGGAAUCAUAUUUUCCGAUUGAAAAACUUUUGGAAAAAUUAGGGAGCUUUGCUUAUGAAGAACUUUUAUUGUUCUGCGGUGUCAAAAAUGACUUACAAAAGUUAAAGGAGACGUUAACCACUGUCAAAAGUGUGGUUUUGGAUGCUGAGGAAAAGCAAAUCCAUAAUCACCGGUUAAGCGAUUGGCUGGGAAAACUUAAGGAUGCUUGUUAUGAUGCAGAAGAUGUGUUGGAUGAAUUUGAGGUGGAAGAUCUACGAAGGCAAGUCAUGAAGCAAAGAAGCAUCGGAAGAAAGUUUCGUAACUUUUUUGGAUGCUCAAAUCCGAUAGCUUUUCGUUUUAGAAUGGGUCAUCAAAUCAAGAAAAUUCGAGAGAGGUUUGAUGAGAUUGCAAAAUUGAGGGGUGAGUUUAAUCUCAUUGAACGACUUGACGAUCAUCGGCGAGUUGUGCACAAAGAAAGGGAAUCCACUCACUCCUUUGUGCUUUCAUCAGAUAUUAUUGGAAGAGAUAAAGAUAGAGAAAAGAUUAUUGAACUAUUGAUGCAAGCAAGUUCUGGCGAAAGUGAAACUCUGUCUGUUAUUCCUAUUGUGGGAAUUGGAGGUCUGGGCAAAACUGCUCUUGCACAGUUGGUGUUCAAUGACCAAAGGGUAGAAGAGCAUUUUGAGUUGAAAAUCUGGAUGCGUGUUUUUGAGGAUUUUGGUGGGAGACAAAUUAUGAGAGAGAUUAUGGAGUCGAUCAUUGUACAAAUUAUGAGAAAGUGUGUGUUCCUAGGUGACUUGAAUACACAACAAUUGCAACGAAUCUUGCGAGAUCAUUUGAAUAGUAAGAGAUGUUGGGAAAAUAUGCUCUUUAAAAGCAUAUGUGUUUAUUUGAAUGUAAUAAACUAUUUUUCUGAUCAAUAAAAUAAAUGAGGUAUUUUAUUCAAAUAUCUUGAUUGCAUUAAUAUUUGUAUUAAAGUGGGCACGAGGGGAGGUACUAUUGGCUACAACUUACAAGGUCUACCAUUCGAGGAUUGCUUGUCUUUGUUUAUGAAAUGUGCAUUUAAAGAAGAGCGAGAUAAACAUCCAAACCUCAUAAAAAUCGGGGAAGAAAUUGUGAAGAAAUGUGGGGGAAUUCCUCUGGCAGUCAGAGCACUAGGAAGUCUAUUAUGUGGCAAAACAGAUAAACGUAAUUGGGAAUAUGUGAGGGAUAUUGAGAUAUGGCAGUUAGAGCAAAUGGACACUGGCAUUUUACGUGCUCUGAGGUUAAGCUACGAUCAAUUGCCACCUCACCUGAAACAAUGUGUUGCUUAUUGUUCAAUCUUUCCGAAGGGUUAUCAAUUUUAUGGUGAUUCUUUGGUUCAAUUUUGGAUGGCUCAUGGUCUUCUCCAAUCGCAUAAUAAGAAAGAAGAGUUAGAUGAUAUUGGUAUGCGAUACUUGAAGGAAUUACUAUCAAGAUUUUUCUUCCAAGAUUUGAGUUUUGGGAUGUUAGGAAUGGAGACGUUCUCUUUCAAAAUGCACGACCUUAUGCAUGAUCUUUCCCUGCUAGUGGCUAAAGAUGAAUUCCUAGUAGUGAACUCUGAUUGUCAAUUUAUUCCCAAAAAAGUCCGCCAUUUGUCAUUUGUUGCUGCUAAUGCGUCAAGAAAUGACUUUUCAAGCCUUUUAUCUGAUCUAGGUCGUGUUAGAACCAUUUUCUUUUCAACUGAUGAUGAUGAGAAGACAAGCCAAUCAUUUAUUGAAUCAUGCAUCUCAAAGUCGCAGUUCCUAAGAGUGCUAGAUUUAAGUGGCUCUGCUAUUGAGGUUUGUCCAAGAGAGAUGGGUAAUUUGAAGCACACGAGAUAUCUUGAUCUGUCGAAAAAUUAUAAAAUCAAGAAACUUCCAAAAUCCAUUUGCGAGCUACAGAGUUUACAAACACUGAAUCUUGCUGGAUGUUUGGAGCUAGAAGAGUUGCCUAAAGACAUAAGGUACCUUGUCAAUCUCAGAUUGUUAGCGCUAACCACAAAACAGAAGUCUUUGCAAGAGAGUGGAAUAAGGAGCUUGGGUUCUCUUCGUUGUUUGUCAAUUUCUAGUUGCUGGAAUUUAGAACAUUUGUUCGAGGAGAUAGAUCAAUUAAGUGUCCUUCGAACAUUAUCAAUUGAAAGUUGUCCUCGUCUAAUCUCAUUGCCACCUGCUAUCAAAUAUCUUAGCUCAUUAGAGAAUCUGUAUUUGGCUAGCUGUGAAAGCCUUGAUCUUAAUUUGAACAUGGAAAUGGAAGGUGAAGGAAGUCAUCAUGAUCGCAAAAACACAAGGCCUCACAUUCGGCGGGUUUUCAUCAAGGAAAUAACACAGUUAUUAGAACUGCCACAAUGGCUUCUCCAAGGUUCUACUGAUACUUUACAGAACUUGUUAAUUCUUGGUUGUCCCAACUUCAUGGCACUACUAGAGUCACUGAGAAAUUUCGAAGCACUUGAGGUUCUUGUCAUCGGGAAUUGUCCAAAAUUGUCAUCGCUGCCAGAGGAUAUGCAUCACCUCACUACUCUGAAAUCAUUGGCCAUUGCAGGAUGUCCUGCACUGAGUGAACGAUGCAAACCGCCAACAGGUGAAGAUUGGCCCAAGAUUGCACAUAUCCCUGAGAUUUUACUUGAAGGCGAGAUGAUUAAAUCAAGUGAUUAUUAGGUAUGGAUUUUUUUUUCAAUAAGCAUACCACUCUGUUAUAUUUCCUCUUUUCAUGCAGCUUUCUAAUUUUUAAUUUCUCAUACGGCUACACCGUUUAUAGUUUAAUGUUUUGUUAUGUUUACCAAACGAAAACUUGACUUUGAACGUUAGUUAGUUCAAUCAAAUUUGUACUAAUUUAUUUUCUUCUAAUACAUAACUAGUUUGUCAGUACAAAACACAAAAAUAAUAUUUUGGAAACCGCACUGUUCUAGGGGUCAGAUCUGUUUCUAAAUUCAAACAGUUCAGGAUUUUUAAAAAUGGAACUUAUAAUGAGAUUUUUUUUUAAUUAUAUAGUUAUCUUCAUAUGGAAUUUCAAUCUUUGUUAAUACUUUAACUUGCGCGGAAACAUCUGACUAUUCUUCCUCUUAUCCUUUUUUUUCCCCAAAUAUUGCAGCUUUCUUGGGAGAGGUUCAACCAAACUGCAGGGACAGUGAAAAUAUUACUCUAACGUGUUUCAGAACAGAGCUUCAAAGGUUUUAAUGUUGUGUUUUAAAGUUACAAGUAUUAUAUAUUCGUUACGUGUGGUUAUGUAAUUUGCUGAUAAAUAAGUACAUUGAGUGAGGUAUAUGUGUGUGCCUGUGUGGUCAUUACUGAAUUUCUCAGUAAUAUAAUUUGCAUUGACUGCAGAUUUGUGAAGAACAUUGAUGUGUUGUGUAAUGGGAACGGUGGUGUCUGUAUUUUGUGCUCUGUGAUUGACGACUUACAUUUGCCCAGGAAGAAAUGAAAACAAAUCGGCUUCUUGAAAUUAACCAUUUAUUCUUUCGAAUG
rnacentral:lncRNA from 1 species